rnacentral:lncRNA from 1 species
UUUAAUUAGUCUUAGUCUUAAAUUAAUUAUGAAUUAAUUUAGAGAUUAAAAGGAAGACUAAUUAGAUUAUGGGCUAUUGGUUUUAUAUGGUGUGGGCUAACACUCAUUUGUUAAUGGGCUAGGCUUGGAUGGAAGUCCAUGGAUGAUCCAUGGAGCUUUUAACCCAUGGAUCCUUGGAAAAGGAAAGGUCAUGGGUUAUUAGGGUUUCACCCUAACCAUGUACACUAUAUAAGCAUGCUUAUGGUGCAUGAAAUGGCAACUAGUGAACUAGUGUGUGUGCUUGUGUGUGGCCGAAAAUUGCAAGUGUGUAUACUCUCUCAAAGUUUUCCAAGUGUUUGUGGUGAUUUGUGAUUCCAUUUGAGGCAUUCACACUAUUGGUGCUUGGCCCUCAAACUCCUCAAGAAUCAAACUCAUCAAAAAGGUAUGUAAUCUCUUCUAACUCUUUUAUGUUGAAAUGUUCCCCAUGCCAUGUUAGAUAGGUUAUGAACCUUGGAAAAUUAUUAUUUUGCAUGUAUGUAGACAAACAUAGAUCCAAGGUUUAUUAGGGUUGCAUGCACACUUAGGAAGUGUUAGAUUGCUCAAAACCCAACAGUUAUAAGCAUCUAUAAGCAUUAUAAUUACUACUAGAAAGAGUUACUCACGUUUUGGUAUAAAAACUCGAAGAUCCGUGCGAGAGUAAAUGGCUUUUCUCUAGAUGGAAAUGUGAAUAAUGAAUGAAUUUGGUUCAAAAAUCUAUUUAUAGUCCUGAAAUAGUUUUGGCAGAAAAUAUUUUUAUUCCUGAAAUGAUCUCUAAUAUAAUAGAGUGUUGGAAUAAUAGUGCUGCACAAAACCCUAGUGCACCCACUCUCCUGAUAUUUCCUGAUGUGUAAACCUUGAAUUACUCAAACUUAUGUGAAAAAGUCUGAAAAUUAAUAGUGACACUAUAACUUCUAUUGAAGUGAUAUAGAUUGUACAGAAUGGAAAUUUCGGGUUAUCACAGUUAACCUCAUGUGUCUUUAGCUGUCUCGAGGCAUAGGCUAUGACUUUACCUCGCUGCAUCAGAACACAUCCGAGCCCUUGGUUUGAUGCGUCACAAUAGACCACGAAGUCUUCUAUCCCUUCGGAGAGGGACAAUAUUGGUGCGGUGCACAAGGCUCGCUUGAGCGUUUGGAACGCUCUUUCUUGUUUCUCUUCCCAGUCAAAGCCACGCCCUUCUGGGUAAGUGUUGUAAGAGGUUUUGCUAUGCGGGAGAAGUUCUGAAUGAACCUGCGAUAGUACCCAGCUAGACCUAGAAAUUGACGAAUUUCAGUAGGUGUCUUUGGUGCUGACCAGUUCUCGAUGGACUUAAUUUUGGAAGGGUUCAUGUGUAUACCUUCUUCGCUAACAACAUGGCCCAAGAAUUCGACUCGCCGAAUCCAAAAUGCGCACUUGGAGAAUUUCGCGUAGAGCUUCUCCGACCGCAAUGUUUCAAAGAUUUUACGGAGAUGUUGGCUAUGUUCUUCUUUACUUUGAGAGUAGAUGAGUAUGUCAUCAAUGAAGACGUUGACGAACUGAUCCAAGUAAGGACGACACACCCUAUUCAUCAGAUCCAUGAAUAUUGUGGGCGCGUUAGUUAAUCCGAACGACAUCACAACAAACUCGUAGUGCCCAUAACGAGCUCGGAAGGCUGUCUUGGGAACAUCCUCCUCUAACACUCGUAGUUGGUGAUAUCCGGAUAGCAGAUCUAUCUUCGAGAAGUAGUUGGAUCCUUGAUGUGGAUCAAACAAAUCGUCAAUACGGGGCAAGGGAUAACGAUUUCUAAUGGUAAGUUUGUUGAGUUCUCUAUAGUCGAUGCACAUGCGAAACGAUCCAUCCUUCUUCUUGACGAACAAGACCGGUGCUCCCCAUGGUGAGAAGCUUGGUCGAAUGAAUCCCUUCUUGAGAAGUUCGUUUAGUUGACUGCAAAGUUCCAGCAUUUCGGCCGAUGCCAGACGAUACGGAGAUUUGGCUACGGGGGUAGCGCCUGGCACUAAGUCGAUUCUGAACUCGACUUGGCGUUGCGGUGGUAAACCGGGAAGUUCUUCUGGCAAUAUGUCAGGGAAGUCGCGUACUUCUGGGAUGUUCUAAAUGUCUUCCAGUUCUUGACUGGUAUCGACAACGUGUGCAAGGAAUGCAUGGUACUCCUUCCGCAAGCACUUCUAGGCUUGAAUGCACGAAAUGAUGCGAAGGCUCGUACUAGGUUUAUCGCCGUAGAUAACUAAGGUUUCGUUGUUAGGAAGGUUAAGACGAACUGCUUUUUCGAAGCACAUAAUGUCGGCGCGAAGAAGACUCAACCAAUCCAUUCCGAUGAGAACGUCGAAACAUUUAAUUGGGACUGGCAUGAGAUCUAUCUUGAAAGUAUGGCUAUCUAAUGUUAAGGUACAACCUACGUAUAUGCAGUUUGUACUCUCUGUUUUCCCGUUAGCCAUUUCUACCGUGAAUGAAUUAUCUAAUGCACAUGGUUUUGUUUAAGCAGGUGUGCAAAUUUGUGACUUACGAAACUUCUUUCUGCUCUACUGUCAAAAAGUAUGCAAGCAUAUGAGUUAUUGAGGAGAAACGUACCAGUAACUAUCGUAGGAUCAGCUACCGCUUCCUCGUGCCCUAUGGCCAUAACUCUUCCUACUCCCCCAGCUAUCCUUGCUUUAGGGCAGUUCCUUUUGUAGUGGCCCACCUUGCCACAACCGUAGCAUGUUUGGCUCAUACCGGCGUUUGGAACCUGGGUGGCCUGACCUGUUGGAGUCUUGCAGUAACGGGCUGUAUGCCCCUUCCUGUUGCCGUUAGAGCACUGCAUCUCCUUGCAAGGUCCGUGGUGGUGGAAGCUAUGCUUGCUGCACUUCGGAAGAGUUCCAGCAUAGGUCUUAGCUGGUAAGGGGUUCGUAGGGACAACGGAAGUCACUGUGGUAGCAUUGAUUGCCACAAGUUGUUGUCUUUUGGAGGAUCCUUGCGAAGCCCCCCUUUUCCUCUUGGACCACCCUUUCUUGUUGUUGUCGGGGUUGGACUUUUGUGGUACGGGUAUAGGGAUUGAUGGGUUUUGAGGUAUCCUGUGGUCUAUGAGAGAUUGUGCUAGCUCUUUGGCGCUAUCGAAAUUAAUUGGCCUGGAAGCUAUCACACUUGACUGGAUUUGGGGCGACAGUCCCCAUAUAUAUCUUUCUAUAUUUUUGCUCUGGAGAACAACCACGUCAGGGCAUAAGUUUGCCAGAUCACAGAACCUAUUUGUGUAGGUCGUGAUGUCGGUUCCAACCAUAUGUAGACCCCAGAAUUCCUGCUCGAGCUUUUGUACUUCGCCUCGAGGACAAUACUCUUUCAUCAGCAUGUCCUUUAACUUUUCCCAGCUGAUGGAAUACGCCACCACCAAAGUUAGAUAGUUAACAUGGGUGUUCCACCAUGUUAGUGCUCUGUCAGAGAAGGUACAAGCUGCAAAAUUGACCUUGUUGCCUUCCUGGCAAGCACAGAUUUCAAAGACUGAUUCCAUGUUUUCAAUCCAUUGUCUCAACACCAUAACACCCCCAAUUCCAUUGAAGCUGCGGGGUUUGGCGUUCGUGAAGUCCUUGUAGGUGCAUUCCCGAGGGUGUCCGUGGCUUUCGCCGUGGUUUGAGGGAGGUGCAUUUGUUCCUGAUCCACUAGGGGCAGGAGCGUUGAUUGCUGACACAGCAGCUGCAACUGCUGCUGUGAAAGCUGCCUGGAACAUGAUGGCAUCGAAAGGAUUUGGUGGUUGAAGAGGUUCAGGUGGUAGUGGAGGGGGGGGUAUCGGUGUUUCGUUGUUUGGGUUACGCCUUGGAUUCCUGCGUGGCGGCAUCUUUAACUAUACAUUUAAAAGAUGACGACAUGGAUAAGAAUAAAUUACUAAUGAAUGUGUCUCAUGGACUAACUCCCCAUAGCCCAACAAUAGAAUGAAUAGAAUGACUAAAUGAAGAAGAUAGCAUUUGGAUAAUAAUUUCCAUAAGAUUAGAUAUAUGUCAAUAAUACUGGAAGUACAGAUGUAACAAGUUCGGGAAAAAUGGCCUAAGAAUAGGCCUUACAUCAACCAAGAUGGAAAAUUUUGACAGAAUCAAGACUAGAUCAAGACCUAACAGGUCUAAGAUUUAUACAGAUAGGAAAUUAGACCAAAGUUUUACAUAAAGUAGGUUAUAUCCAAAAGAUAAGUUUAUGAGAUUGUAUCGGCGACAAGAGCUGCUAGCAUGAGCCCUCAAUCCCGACAGUAGACGUUCAAUGUCCCUUAUACGCCUGUCCGACCUUGCUUGCUGAGCUCGAAGUUCCCUAACUUCAGUUUGAGUUUCGGCAAGUUCUCUCUACAAAUUUGCAUUGCCGACCAGAGUCCUUUCAUGAGCAGACUCUAGUUGGCGAAUGUGGACAGUGUUAACACUGGAGUUGGCAUCAACUUCCAAGACUUGAUUGAUAGUCGCCUGAUCCAAUAACGUGUUCUGAGAAAUCCUACGCACCAUGAUCGGUAGGACUCUAUCAGCAGAACCUCCUUCGGUGAGGUUGUAGAUACCUCGGUCUCCACUGUAGGGAAUGGGCUGACCUUGUUCCUGGCUCCAUCUAGCCAAGUUAGUGGCCCACAGAGGCGUGGGUCCUUGAAACGUAGGACGGGGGUUCAGGUUUGGGUUUUGAGCAGCUGGGGGUAGGUUGUUGACUUCAGGCUCUGAGUCAGAACUAUCGGAAAAACCCUCAGCAUGGUGAUCAUCCAAAGGGAUUGGGUGAUCAUCUUCUGGUUCUGCCUCUAGCCAACCAGCAUUGCCUUGGUUUGGGAAGUACGGAUCGCCAUGGUGAAAUCCAGCCAUUUUAAUCUACGCAAGAAAAGGGAUAUAAGAAAUAGCUAAAAUAGAUGAAUUGACUAAGAUAAAUACAGUAAGACCAAAUACCCCUAUGGUAUUUCUUUAUGGUUGUGCUGGUAAGUUUUUAGACUUGUUGCCAUAUCACAACCAUUCUUAGGCAUAUGCUAAUCACUCCUCGGACUAGUGUAGUUGAUCAGGCUAUGCCAUUCCCAAGACUGACCAUAUAUCCCCAGACUUACUUGUGAUAUUCAACAAUCGUAAUACUUUUGUUCUUGUCAUUGUGACACUGAUUUUAGUAUGAAUGCAGGCACAUAUACUUUGUUAAAUAUUUUAUUAUUUAAAAUUAUAACUCUUAGACAGAGUGUUUUAAUCCCGAUGUAUUUAUAGUUAGUAUAUCUUUUAUGGGUUGAUAUACUUUAUUCACUAUAAACAAUGCUCUGAUACCAAUCUGUCACACCCCAAAACCACGAACGGCGGAAACGUUCAGGGGUGGAGGACGUCAUGUACAGUAUCACAACAGUGUAAUAUAAUAAACAAGCAACAACAUCAUCCAUUGCAUUAUAAGUAAAGUUUUAAUACAUGUGUGUUCUUUCAUUGUAAUAAGACACCAAAAAUAUACAAUCAAAAUAAAAGACGAGACUUGUCUGCUCCGUCUUCUCAAAACCUGGCCAUCGUACAUGUCUACUGUUGACCUGAGAAUACAAGUUAUUUUGAAAGAGAGUAUCAGCUUUAAAGCUGGUGAACUCAUAAGUAAUUAAGUGUCAUUGUCUUGCUUAUGAAAAUCUGUUAUGAAGGCCAUGUAAACCUUUAAAUGAAAAUGUUGAUGUAAGUAUGAAAACCCUAGAAAAUCCCUUAUUUUCUAUCAGUUUGAGAUGUAGUCUUCUACCAAGACCUGAAUUUUUUGUUAUGACAAUGUAGUCUUCUACCAAGACCCAAAUGUUUUGUUAUGGCAAUGUAGUCUUCUACCAAGACCCGAAUGUUUUGUAAGUAAAAGGAUAGUGUUUCCUUUAAUUGUUUAGUACUAAAGUACUUAGUGUAACUCAUCGUUUAUGUGAAAGUAUCACAAAAUAAAGUAAACAGGAAAAAGUACUAAUGUAAGUGUUAUCCCGAGGUACCAGGGCUAACACGCCAUAUAUAACAUAAUUAACAUCCGUAGAUUGUCCAAUUGUCCUCUGUAGCAGCAGUAGGGCGGAGGAAGGGUUAGUCCUUGUAAAGGUACUCCUAGUACAAGUAAUAACCUAAUGAUCAUCCGAAGAUUUUCAUCUCAUCCUCUGUUGCAACAGCAGGAUGGAGGAAUGGUUAGUUCCAAUAUCGAUCUAUCUAUGAUAAGUGAUAACCGUUGACAUCCGUAGAUGUUCAUCACCCACUGUUGCUAACAGCUGGGUUCCGGAAUGGUUAGUCCCAUCCAUAUAUCAUGAUGUACUGGGGAUAGAGUCCCGACUAGAUAUCCCGAGGUACUAGGGAUAUGUAGGAAGAUUUACACAGAAGGUACUAAUAAAUCAUCCUCGCAAUUCGAGAUAUAAGUAUUAAUGUUAAUAUACACAGGUAAAUGUAUCUACGUAAAGGAACUUAUGUAAUGUGUUCAUGUAAGCGUGAUCAUGUAUCAUGUAAGUAUAUGUAAACGUACUCAGGUAUCAUGUAAUCAACUGUAAAUGCACUCAUGUAUCAGGUAAUGUACUGGUAUAGACUCAUGAAUGAACUGACUCUUGUGUGAUUCCUUGUAAUAGGAAUUAUGUUUGAUAUCUUCAAAUUAUCCCUAUGAUAAUUAACUGAGAGGUAAUUGGUUGAUCAUGUAGGUUUAUACACUCUUACUAGUCAAGGGUGUGAGAAACUGAAUGAAAUGUGUAAACUAUAACAUCAACACAUAUAUAAGAAUAUAAGUGUAUAUGCAUAGUUUAGUUCAAGAAUGUAAAAUGGUUUUGUAAGACAUCUUAUAGGUUUUGAACAAUAAUUAACAAUGACUUGAUGUCAUUUUAAUUAAAAUUUCAAAGGUAAAACAUUUGAUAACAAUGUAUUUUUCAGAUUUAAAACCAUUUCAUGCAUCACAUUUUGUAGUAUGUGAAAUCUGUUAAAUGACAAACACAGUUAUAAAAUACAUAUCAAUGAUUUAAUAACAUGUUUGUUUCUACUUGUAUCCCCCCCUUAAAGCAGUUAAAAUCAUUUAAAACAUUGAUUAGGGGUAUGAACUCACCUGUAGAUGGUGAUUCGGAUGAACCGGACGGUAUAGGAUUGCUAGGUGUUAAACAAGGACUUGCACACAUACUACGAUCCUAAUGAACAUAUAAUCACACAUAUAUGCACUCAAUUAGUCUCAAAUCACUAAUUGAUAAUGUUAAGACAUCCUAGACAUAAUAAACACUUUAUAUAAGUGUUUUAAGCCCUAAGGAUUGCAUCUAAGCUAUUGUGGGACAAGGCACUUGUGUUUAGGGUUCCAAAGGACCCCAUAUAUGAGUUUACUCCCCAUAUACCAUCACACAUGGAGUUUACGGUUGUAAACUCUUGAGUUUACGGCCGUAAANCACAGCCGUAAACUCCCAACCAUGGGGGUAUUCUGUGUUUUGAAGUCCCAAAUGAUUCCUAGAAUUAUUCUAACUUGGUGGUUCAAUUCUUGAAAGGGUUUAAGGCCUAGAAAAACUCCCUAAUAGCUUUUGGAUCUAGUUUGUCUAAUGAACAUGCAAUUGAAUAUCCAAAGCUAUAUACUCUAGAUCUAGCAUACAAUUAAUCAUUUUAACAUAAGAAUAGGGUUUAGAUCUUACCUUGAUUGUUAUGUAGCAAUAACAAUCUCAAAUCCUCCUUGUAAUGGCUCUAGAAAGCUUAGAGUCACAAGUUUCACUCCUCUAAUGGCUCACAAACACCAAGAGCAAGAGGAUGAAGAAUGAUAAGAGAGGAGGCACCCAAAAACGUGCAGAAACCCUUAGGAAUUAGUUGGCCACAUUUUUGGUGCCCUAGGGAUCCUUAAAUAGUGAGGCUAUUAGGGUUAUCUAACAAGGAAACCCUAAUUUGAUUGCUUAGGCCCUAAGCAACCCAUGGACUACCUCCUUAGAGGCCUUGGACGAUUUCUAAUAGGUUUCCCCAUAGAAUUCGUCCACUCCAUCCUUUAUGGAAUCCAUUAGCCCAAUAUUCAACUGUCACACAAUUAACAGUUCUAGUCCCCUUUAUUUAAUUAAUAUCUUUUAGGCACAAAAUAAAUUCUUAUUAAUUAUUGACUAAUAUUAAUUAAACCAUAUGAUUUCUCCAUUAAUAUAUUUUUCUUAUAAUAUAUUAAUAAAUCAUAAUUACUCCUCUCUCUCCAUAAUUCAUCCUAUCAAGUUGCUUUGGUGAAGGCAACCCAAAAUGACCAUGCACAAUCGGGUCAAGUAAAUACCAAAAUAGUUAUGGACUUAGACACUAAUCCUACAGAAGAUACAUACCCGUCACCACAUCCGGUGUUGCAUGAUCCUGCUCAACUAUCAGUUGAAACAUCCUGCUCCUCACCACAGUCACAUCCUCCUUUCCCUGGUAGCCAUCAGUGAUCCUCAUCAUCGAUGGAACGGGUGAUACCACUAAUCCAUCUACUUCCAUACUCAUAUAAUGGGCCUUCUUGUGGACCCUGAUUGCAAACCCUGCUAAUAUGGCCCAUCUAGCUCCACUUGAAGCAUCCAUAACCACCCACCCUUCACUCCCCAUCGUGCCUCUUUCUGCACUUGCCACAACGGCUCCGGCCCUGAUGGAAUCAAAUACCUUGGGUCUCUUGCCCAAACCCCCUGAAACCUGAGUCUGAUCUGACAUCCUCUUCUUCUCCAUCUCAAGAUCAAUCUCCCUCUCCCUGACUCUCACAAUCAUAUCCUCCAAUGUCUUGCACCCAGAUCGGUUCACAAAAUACUGAAUAUCACUCCAUAGAAUCUCAUGGUACAUCUCCUUCUUUAUAUACUAGUCUGCCACAUACUACGGAACCAAUAGUUUCCUCUCACAGAACAUCAUGUUGAUCUCAGACAUCGUCUCAGUAAUUUGGCAAAGGUCCUGGAACUCCCCCGCUAGCUGUUGGGCCUCAAUCGCUAGUGCGAACUCAACUCGAAAUCUAGUCACAAAAUCAUCCCAUGUCAUUAAAUCAACAACCUCAUCACCAACAGAGUUCCCAUCCUCCUCCCAGCAGUGUCAACCUUUGUCUUUCUGAAGAUAGAAAGUAAUCAUGAACUUUGCCCCAUCGGGGCAAGUGCUAGUGCAGAAGGAGUUAGCGACAUCCGCUAACCAAUGCCUGCUCACACUUAGGUCCUUCUUACUAAACUAAUAUGGAGCCCCACAUGCCCGAAACUCCCUGAAAGUAAGUAUGUAAGCUUAUUCAAGAUCUCCAGAAUGCCCUGCUUGACCGUACCAAAUAUCAUAGUAGUCUACUUAAGUAUGCUGCGGGCAAUCUCUGACAAAAUGAACUCCUAUGUUGUAUCAUCCAACUGCCCGACACUAGAACCCAAGCCUAAACACUGACCAACACCAGAACCACCAGCCGAUUUGCCUUGAAGAGUUACCAUACUUAAAAUAGACCAUAUAAAUCAUCAAAAUACGCAUCGAUCUAUAUCAAUGACUCUUAUACUCUACAAGUUUCCUGGUUUCAUCGCAGUUCUCCUUGACUCGAGUGCGAAUCCUCUGUUUUCUAUAGUACGGACCCAUACUGCCUUCCACAUACAUCCAUACUUUCCUCAAGGAUCGCCUUGAGUCCUCCAAUUCGCUCGUUAUCCGCACGAAUAAUCCUCCUCAAAACAAGGCUCACAAUACUAAAGCUCCUCCUAGGUUUUUCUAUGGAAAUCACCAUACCACUCCCUAUCAUCAGCUGCAGAAGGAACUCCAGCUGUCACCAUCUAACUAGCUCACAAAUACAAUUACAUGUCACUGACGCUAGAUAAUUCUUCGAAUGAAAGGUCUAACACUACAAUGGUUGGACUCGAACAAGAGUUGUAGGAUAGAGUAAAAACUUAACCAUAUAAAAUUAUUUAGUUUCCGUAAUUUGUAACUUAGAAUAUUCACUUACUAGUAAGUUGAAGUUAGUGAGAAUUCCUAAAAACUCAAAAAGCAAGCAACAUUCGAGCAUUGGGAAAUCGGAAUCAAGCCUAACAUAAUCAAGCCAUCCUAUCACUUGCUGAUCAGUACUAGCAUGAAAGUCUACAAGCUCAUACAGUAGGCAUAUAAAGGUAUCUCUCCUAGCAUUUUAUCAUGCAAAUCCUGAGCAGAUCCUUGGCCCUAACUAGCAUGCGAUUCAUAGAUUCAUAAAUCAAAGCAUAUCCUAAAACAUGUAUGGGUAUUUUGAGAAAACUUACUUGAGUUCGUUCGAUUGCAUGCACCACACCCUUUUCUAUUAUUAGAAACCCUUUUAUAAAACAUUUCUUUUUUAAAAAAUUUCUACCAAAUCCUUAGUUUGAGUUCAGAUACACACGGGAGUAUGUCCGAAUCCCUCAAACUAAGGCUUUGACACCAACUUGUAACUUCUCAAAAAUUAAGACCAAAACUUUUCAUUUUUAAAUUAAUAAAACCAUUAUCCAAAACAUAUUCAUAAAACCAUGGUGGAAUAAAGUGUAUCAAAUACAUCAUAAAAUAUCAGAGUAAUCAUAAAAUGUAGAGCGAGGUGGUGUGUGCACUUCCAUCAUCUCGGGCUCUUCCCCUUCGAACCAGAAGUACCAGAAAACAAGAACUGAAAACCAUAAGUACAAAGCUUAGUGAGUUCCCCAAAAUACCACAUACCAUACAUAAUAAACACACAAAGGGCCCCGCCCAUCAUCGGGCCCCACCUGACGUCGAGGCCCGCUCAGUAUACAUAUCUGAUAUCAUCAAGCCCCACCCGGUAUACAUAUAAACAUAUAAACACAUAACACAUGCAAUAAUCACAAAGAGGCAUAGGAUACAAAAUGAUCAUCGGGCCCCGCUCAGUAAUCUUACCAGAACAUAACACAUGCAAGAGUCACGCAGACAUCUAGCAUCCUGAACAUACCAAUCAUGGGCUAGGAUUGGUGCCUUCGACUCGCCAAACACAUUGAGGAAACUCACCUCUAGCUGUUGAAAUACGCAAAAGAAUCUCUGCAUGCUGGUGAGGAAAAUCCCCGUGCUAUCAUCUUCAAAAUAAUAUCCAAUUAUUAAUUGGAUCUCAACCCAACCAAGAAUCUAAGCUACUUAGCCCAUAACCAGGGUAAAAGACCAUUUUACCGUUUUUUUUAAUUGGCCCAACUCCAAGGCCCAACCCAACAACUCAAAAGGCCCAAAACCUAAAUGACAACCCAAGGCCCAAUUAUUUACCAAUAUUCCAAAUUGGGCCCAAAACCCAUCAUGGGCCUAAAUACGAGGAAGCCCAAAUACUAGCCAAAAGCCCCAAAUCAGAAGUCCAAUGGACCAACAAGGACGAAACUUAGAAAGCGCAACUAUGGCCUAAACCAAAAAGGCCAAGCCUAAAAUGCCCACUAAUGAGUACGCGGGGCGCACUCAGCUAGUGCGCCCAUCAUACUUCCAUUACCACUUUUCCUAUUCAUUAAGCACUUAAUCGGUUAAGACCUUUUUCUAUAUGCUCAAAUCUGGUUCCUAAGGGUGACUUAUCACGUAAAGUUGGCAACUUUACACACAUGUGUGGCUUAAUGGGACCAAAUACUCAAAAAGAAGCUUAAAAGACAUCUUAAUACAUGCAUGGACCAAUAUCCUUCAUAAAGUUUGCAUUUUUAUGAACAAGGGGUCUAAAUGGAGCUAAGAUUUCGCAUCCAGGUCUUCUGGAUUAGAUCAAAAGGUCAUCUUUAACUCCAUUAGACUAAAAAACGCAUAAAAGCCACCACAAACUAGAUCUAACACAUAAGGCCAUCAAGGUGAGAGAUUCAUACCUUAGAUGGCUUGAAAUGAUGAUAAUGAAAUUGGAUCUACAAGGCCAAGUUACUCCCAAACAACCACCAAGAGUUCUUCUUCUUCUUCUUCUUCUUUUCUUCUUCUUUCAUAAAAACACCAACAAAAUCUCACUAAUAUGCUCACAAUCUCACAAGAGGCACCUAAGGUUCGAUGUCAGGGCACAAGAUGAUGGAGGUUGGUCAAACAUGUCUAAGAGGUGUUAUAAUGAGGUUUCAAUUGGGUGCAAACACUAAAAUUUAGGUUUUUCCCAAAGCAUGUCUACGUCCAACGUAAUCCCACAUACGCCCAACAUACGUGGGUGAUGCCUGUGACCAGCAAUAGCUAGUACACUAAGCGUAUUCAUGGAGUGCGCCCCAUAUACUAGCCAAGGACCAAAAUGAAGGGGAUUUUGCAUAAAAGGGAAAAAGGAAACUUACCAAAAACUUGAGUGUUACAUGUGAUGGGUUUUGAGCAUUCUAACACUUCCUAAGUGUACAUGCAACCCUAAUAACCUUGGAUCUAUGUUUGUCUAAUUAUCAUGGAAAGUUGAUUUCCAAGGCUAUGAUCAUAUCUAGCAUACAUGGGGAACAAUUUUAACUUGACUAAAAGAUAGAACUACAUACCUUUUUGUUGAUUUUGAUCCUUGAAACCUUGUGAGCCUAGCACCCCAAGUGUGAUGCCUCAAAUGCUUCACACAACACCAAAUGCUACGGAGUAAACUUGGAGAGAAAGUAUAACACUCUAAAAAUCGACUCUAGCCCUCAAGUAUGCAUGCAUGUGUAGCCGAUUUUGGGAGAAACAUGAGCUUUAUAUAGUGUUGACACAUUUAGGGCUACACCAUGUAAACCCUAAUGUGUCAUGACUAUUCAUUUCCAUGACCCAUGGGUUUGUAACUCCCAUGGAGCAUCCAUGGAGCAUCCUAUGGGUAGAACCCAACUUGAUAAUCCAUGGAGCCUCUUAGCCCACUAUACAAGAUAUGGAUGAUUUACAUAAUCAACCCAUAUAUUUAAUUAGUUAUCUUUUGAUCACUUAAUUAAUUCUAAAUUAAUUCUUGAUCAAACUAAUUAAAUAAUAUUAUUAAUAUAUUAGAACUUAUAAUAUAUUAAUAAACCACAAGUGUUAUUUCUCUCAUUUAGUCUAUCCAAUUGCAUGGUGCCAUGCAACCCAAAUGGACCAUGCCGGGUCGGGUCAAGUACAUACCAGAAAUAGUUAUGGACUUAGACACCUUAUCCAACAGUCUCCCACUUGGAUAAGUCUAAUAACUAUAACUGCAAGUAUGACUUCAGGAACCGAUCGGCAAUCGUAGCUCUUUUCAAGGUUUCUCGGAACUGAGAAGAUGAUGGUACGCCAUUUCAGAUAAGGGAUCAUAUAAUCCUCUGUUCUAGAUAUCAGCCGGACAAAUACAUGGAACAUUGUCUUGCUUAUUGUCCAGCAGUUUGUUUCCCGAUUUCCGAUUUGUUUGACAAAGAACUUAAUUGAACACAUCAACUUAGUUCUGACCGGGCCCGGUACAUAGGUCAAAACAAAAUCAUCGAGGGGCCCAGAUAUCAGCUUCUAAUCCAAGAAGGAACAGAUAAACUUCGACUCAUAUGCUUGUUCUACUACUUGUUAAAUUACACACAAACGCACGUUUUAUAACAUCGAGUUACCAAUGCGGUUUCGCACGUUCAAUGCAUAACUAACUCAUAGUUAACAAGUCAUAUCUCUAGGUUUGAAGACUUAUAUGAUAUUACCGUCUCGCGAUCACUCGAGAUAAAUUCCAUGAAGUGAUACCAGCAAGCGUGGGUUGAAUCCAAUACUCAGAACUUAUGAGCACUCAUGAGUGUUGAGGCCAUGUCCAACAUUUUAGACCUCUACAACCAACUCAUGACAGUCUUACUUCAUAUCUACUUCCAACAUAUGACUGACUGUGGAUAAUUUGAAUAAUAUGUAAAACAACAUAAAUAUUCUGGAAGUCAAAACAUGCAAAAGAAAUAAUAGUAAACGAUUGACAGGAGAUAGCAACACUUUACUCAUAAAUAAACACAACUUUUAUUCAUCAUCAAAUGUCAAUUAUAUUUUACAAAUUUCAAAAUCAUCUAACUACUAAGAUUAAUAUGAUCCUUCAGCCCUAUGCUCCUAGCAUGCUGGAGAUGCUUAACCCUACCCAGUCCCUUCGUGAUGGGAUCUGCCGGCUUCUCAUCCGAUGAUACCCUCUUUGCCACGAGAAGUCCUUCUUCUAUACGAUGUCUUAUGAAAUGAUAUUUUCUGUCAAUGUGUCUGGAUCUCCCAUGAUUUCUUGGUUCCUUGGCCAAGGCGACAACACUUUCACUAUCACAGAAAAUCUCUCUAGGCUUCGAUAUAGCUGGUACAACUCCAAGGUCUCCGAUGAAGUUCUUUAGCCACAUAGCCUCUUUUGCCGCCUCGCUUGCCGCUAUGUACUCUGAUUCGCAAGUUGAAUCAGCCACUGUCUCCUACUUGAACUUUUCCAAGAGAUUGCUCCUCCAUUUAAGGUAAAGACCCAGCCUGACUGAGAGCAGAAAUUAUCCCUAUCAGUCUGGAAGCUAGCAUCAUUGUACCCUACGACUCUCAAGUCAUCAUUCCCACCGAGCGUAAGAACCAGUCGUUAGUCCUCCGCAGGUACUUGAGAAUGUUCUUUACCGCUGUCCAGUGAGCCUUACUAGGAUUCCCUGAUACCUGCUAACCAUGCUUAAAGCAAAGGCUACAUCAGGACGAGUACAGGUCAUAGCAUAGAUGAUCGAGCCUACUGCUGAAGCAUAAGGUACCCGACUCAUUUCUGAUAUCUCAUCCUCACUACUCGGGCUCUGAGUCUUACUCAGUCUAGUGUUACUCUGGAUGGGUAACUCUCCUUUCUUGGAAUCUUGUAUGCUGAAUCUCUUCAUCACCUUAUCCAAGUAUGUGCUCUGACAAAGUCCAAUUAGUCUUUUACUCCGGUUUCUCAAAAUCCUUAUUCCUACAGUAUAGGCAGCUUCUCCUAGGUCCUUCAUAGCAAAACACUUCCCAAGCUAGGACUUAACUUCCUGCAGAGUUGGGAUGUAAUUUCCUAUGAGUAGUAUGUCAUCCACAUACAGUACCAAAAAGCUAACUAUACUCCCACUAGCCUUGACAUAUACACAAGAUUCAUCUUCACUCCUAGAGAAGCCAAACUCUUUGACUUUCUCAUCAAAGCAAAGAUUCAAUCGGCGUGGUGCUUGCUUUAAUCCAUAGAUGGAUUUCUCAAGCUUACACACUCUAUUAGGGUACUCUUGAUGGGUUUUAGCCAUAAGAACUUUCCUAUGUGCGCAUGCAAAACCCUAAUGCUUGGAACUAGGCUUUCUAAUUAAACAUGCUUUGAGUCCAAGACUUCUAAUGGCUAAUUAGGUUAAAUAACAACAUUGAAACAGAUCUAGAACCAUACCUUUAAAUUCCUUGUUGAUCUUGUAGUCUUGGAGCUUCUAGAGUCACAAAUGUCACUCCUCUAAUGGCUUACAAACACCAAUAGCAGGGAAGAUGAUUUAGGAGAGAGGAGAUGGGAGGAAAUCGGCCAGGGUUCUCUUACUUUAGGUGAGGUACCGAUUUCCCUUGCCCAUAGGGUCUAUUUAUACUUGUAGAUUCCUUAAGGGUUACAACCUAAACCCUGAUUGGAUAAUCUUCUCUUAAGGCUAUCCAAAUCCUUUCCUUAGAUAACUCAUUGGACGAUUUUGAAGCUAUCCUAGCUUCUAGAAUCCGUCCCCUAUAUAUCUAUAAGGAUUUAUAGUCUUAAGCUUAACUAUCAAACAAUUGACAGUUUAUACCCCUUUAUUUAAUUAACCUCUUUAAGUCACCAAAUUAAUUCUAAUUAAUUCUAUGACUUAUAUUAAUCAAAUAACAAAAUAUUAUUCAUUAUAUUAUUCUCAUAAUAUAUUAAUAAUAUUUACUCUCUCUUAAUAAAUCAUCCUAUCAAGUUGCUAUGGUGAAGGCAACCCAAAAGGACCAUGCACAACCGGGUCAAAUACUUGCCUAAUAUAGUUGCAGCCUUAGACACUAUUCCAACAGUCUCCCACUUGGAUAAGUCUAGUAACUAUAUGCACAAGUACAAUUCGGUUUGCAAUCGUAGCUCUCAAAGACGCUGUCAAACUCUGAUCUAAUCAAUCUUGUCCUUUAGAUAAGGGAUCGUACAGUCCUCUGUUAGAUAUCAUGCUGACAAUCCUAUGGAAUGGUUAGUCAAGCAUUUAGGUUUCUCGAUCUCUGAUUUAUUUGACAUAGAACUUAAUCGAACACAUCAAUUCAGUUCUGACCGGGCCCGGCACAUAAGUCAAAUCAAAUCAUCGAGCGGCCGAGAUAUCGCUUUUACCUUCUUAGAUAAAAGUUACAGAUAAACUUCGACUUAUAUGCAUUUACUUAUUCAUUAACCAACUAUACACAACAAUGCGUUUUAUAACACCGAGUUACUGAUGCGUUUUCGCAUUAUCAAUGUACAAUCAAUUAACAAAUAACAAACCAUAUAUCUAGGUUUUAAGACUAUAUGAUAUUAUCGUCUUGCGAUCACCCUUUUAUAUCAUAUUCCAUAAGGUGAUUCCAGCAAGCGCGGGUUUGUUCCAAUGCUCAAAACUAGUUCAUAAGCACUCAUGAACGUUGCAGCAACCCUUUGCUAUGUCUAACACCAUUUAGACAAUCUACACACCAAUUCAUGACAAUCUUCAUUCAUAUCUACUUCCAACAUAUGAACGAUUGUGGACAAUUUGAACAAUUCGAUUAUUCCUAAUAAACUCAAUUAUUCUGGAAGUCAAAACAUGCAAAGUGAAACAAUAGUUAAACAAUUAACAUAAGAUAGUAACAUUACUCAUAAAUAAAACUCCUUUAUUUAAUCAUCAAAUGUUAAUUACAUUUAUCUAUUACACGUUUCUAAUACUAUCUAAUCUAUGCUAAUAUCAUCCUUCAGCCCAAUACUCCUAGCAUGCUGCAAGUGCUUAACCCUACUCAGUCCCUUCGUAAGCGGAUCUGCUGGGUUAUCUUCUGAUGAUAUCCUCUUCACUACGAGUUGUCCUUCUUCUACACGAUGUCUAAUGAAGUGAUAUUUUCUGUCGAUAUGUCUUGAUCUACCAUGAUCCCUCGGUUCCUUGGUCAAGGCAACCGCUCCUUCGUUAUCACAGAAAAUCUCCAUGGGCUCCUUUAUGGCAGGUACAACUCCAAGAUCACCGAUGAAGUUCUUUAGCCAUAUUGCCUCCUUCGACGCUUCGCUCGCUGCAAUGUACUCUGAUUCGCACGUUGAAUCAGCUACGGUUUCCUGCUUGGAACUCUUCCAUGUCACUGCUCCUCCAUUUAGGGUAAAGACCCAGCCCGACUGCGAACGGUAGUUGUCCCUGUCGGUCUGAAAACUGGCGUCACUAUACCCUCGCACCUUCAAGUCAUCACUCCCUCCGAGGACUAAGAACCAUUCCUUCGUCCUCCGAAGGUACUUAAGGAUAUUCUUCACCGCAAUCCAAUGUGCUCUGCCAGGAUUCCCUUGAUAUCUGCUAACCAUGCUCAAAGCGAAGGCUACAUCAGGGCGAGUACAAGUCAUAGCGUACAUGAUUGAGCCAACUGCGGAAGCGUAUGGUACUCGGCUCAUUUCUGCUAUCUCAGCUUCGGUACUCGGACUUUGAGUCUUACUCAAUUUGGCAUUACUUUGUAUCGGUAGUUCUCCCUUCUUUGAGUUUUCCAUACUAAAACGUUUUAGUACCUUCUCUAAGUAAGUAUUCUGACUAAGUCCAAUUAGUCUCUUACUUCUUUCUCUUACUAUCCUUAUUCCCAAAAUGUAAGAAGCCUCUCCGAGGUCCUUCAUAGCGAAGCACUUCCCGAGCCAGGACUUAACCUCCUGCAGAGUCGGGAUGUCGUUUCCUAUGAGUAAUAUGUCAUCGCCAUAUAGAACGAGGAAGCUUACUACACUCCCACUAGUUUUGACAUAUACACAAGAUUCGUCUUCGCUUCGUACAAAUCCAAACUCUUUGACUUUCUCAUUGAAGCAAAGAUUCCAUCUGCGAGAUGCUUGCUUAAGUCCAUAAAUGGACUUCUCAAGCUUACACACUCUAUUCGGAUGCUACGGAUCCACAAACCCCUCUGGCUGAGCCAUGUAAACAUCCUCAGCCAACUUUCCGUUAAGGAAAGCGGUCUUGACAUCCAUUUGCCAAAUCUCAUAAUCAUGAAAUGCGGCAAUUUCUAGCAUCAAUCUAAUAGAUUUAAUCUUGGCGAAUGGUGAGAAGGUCUCCUCAUAGUCAACUCCGGGAGUUUGAGUAAAGCCCUUCGCAACCAAUCAUCCUUUAUAUGUGUGUACCUUUCCAUCCACGUCGGUCUUCUUCUUGAAGAUCCAUUUGCACCCAACGGUCUUAUGUCCGGGCACAUAAUCAACCAAAUUCCAAACUUGGUUAUCAUACAUGGAUUGGAUCUCGCUAUCCAUUGCCUCUUUCCAUUUUGCAGACUCCGGGCCUGCCAUGGCUUCCUUAUAGCUAUUAGGUUCAUCAAGAUUUAUUAGUGUACCAUCACUAAUAUACGUGUCCCCUUCGGUAGUAAUAUGAAAACCAUAAAACUGGGGUUGAACUCUAACUCUAUCGGAACGUCUAAGAGGUAAGGAUUCGUCAAUCGGUUCAACCGGAGUUUCCUCCUCGGGUUGAGUGCCAGCGGUAGAGGUUCCUUCAUCUAUCGACUCUUGAAUCUCUUCAAGCUCGAUUUGCCUCCCACUGUCUCCUUGGCUUAUGAGUUCUCGCUCUCGGAAAACUCCUCUCCUCGCAACGAAGACAACAUUGUCCUUCAGUCUAUAGAAGAGAUAUACAAAGGAUGUCUAUGGGUAGCCGAUGAAAAUACAUCGCUCACUUCGAGGUUCGAGCUUUUCGUGAGUAUCUUGUCUCCCAAAAACCUCGCAACCCCAAACCUUGAUAUGUGCUAACGAGGGAGCUUUCCCUGUCCACAUCUCGUGAGGUGUUUUGGCAACCUUCUUAGUAGGGACUCGGUUAAGGAUAUGGGCGGCAGUCUCUAAGGCAUACCCCCAAAAAGAGAUUGGUAGUGAAGCACGACUCAUCAUAGAGCGAACCAUAUCCAAUAAGGUUCGAUUACGCCUUUCUGCCACACCAUUCAACUGCGGUGUCCUAGGAGGCGUCAAUUGUGAAACUAUUCCACACUCCUUGAGAUAAUCGUGGAAUUCAAGACUUAGGUACUCUCCUCCUCGAUCGGAUCGAAGCAUCUUGAUUUUCCUGCCCAAUUGAUUCUCCACUUCAUUCUUGAACUCUUUGAACUUUUCAAAGGUUUCUGACUUUUGCUUGAUUAAAUAGAUAUACCCAUAUCUACUGUAAUCAUCAGUAAAAGUCACAUAGAAACGGUUGCCAUCCUUUGUGGUUGAUCUAAACGGUCCACAUACAUCGGUAUGUAUUAGCUCCAAUAGACCUUCAACCCUUUCACAUGUACUCGUGAAUGGUGACUUAGUCAUCUUUCCAAGUAAACAAGACUCGCAUGUUUCAUCUUCCCUAAGGUCGAAUGACUCCAACACUCCAUCCUUUUGGAGCUAGGCUAUGCGUUUCUUGUUGACAUGUCCAAGACGACAAUGCCACAAGGAUGCUUUAUCCAUACUAGUGGAAGAAUCAAUAUUCAAAACAUCAUUUCCUAAGUUAUCAACAAUCAUAACGGUUUCAUAUAUUCCAUUACAUGGUAUAGCUUCAAAGUAAAAGACACCAUUUAGAUAAGCCAAAAUAGAACCAUUCUCAUUAUUAAAAGAAAAUCUAAAUCCUUGUCUAUAUAAACCAUGAAAUGAAAUGAUGUUUCUAGCCAUUUCUGGCGAAUAGCAACAAUUGUUCAAAUCUAAACAUAAAUUAUUCCUAAGCACUAAAGAAUACACUCCAAUCUUGGUCACAGGCGACGAUCUUCUGUUCCCCAUGAUUAGAUUGAUCCUUCCUUGCUCCACAUCCCUACUUCUUCUUAGUCCCUGCACAUUAGAACAAAUGUGAUAACCACAACCGGUAUCAAGAACCCAAGAAAUAGCAUGAUUAGAAUCGUUAGAUUUGAUUGUAUAUAUACCUGCGAAAGAUGGCUUGAUCUUUCCUUCUUUGAUUGCUUGCAGGUAAUCCGGGCAGCUUCUCUUCCAAUGUCCUAUCUUGUGGCAGUGGUGGCACUCUGCCUCCUUCGGGUUAGAGCAGGGCUUAGCGGGAUCAACUUUGGUCCCACUAGAAGAGGCACCAUCUCGGGCUUUCACCUUGCGAUAGUUCUUCGAUGAAGCUUUCCUCUUCUUUCCCUUCCCUUGUCCAAUAGCCAAGACAGGAGCAGCGGGCGGAUUGGGAGUAGGUGCAACAGACUUGUCUUUGAAGUUGCUCUCAGCAACCCUCAAGAGACCUUGGAGCUUGCUUAGGGUGACCUCUUCUUUGUUCAUGUGGUAGGUCAUCCUAAAUUGAUUGUACAUCGGAGGCAAAGAGUGAAGCACCAUGUCGAUCGCCAAAUCCUCACCGAAGUCAACAUUUAACUUGCGAAGGCGGUCGACAUACCUUUGCAUCUUUUGCAAGUGCACGGUAAGAGAUUCUCCAUGACCCAUCUUCGCGGAAAUCAUGUUAGUGAAAAUCUCGUACCUCUCUUGUCUCGCGUUUUGGUGGUACCUCUCCAAUAAGUCUUGGUGCAUCUCGUACGGGUACAUGUCCUCGUAGGACUUUUGGAAUUCGGAGUUCAUGGUGGCGAUCAUGAUGCAAUGUACCUUCGUUGCAUCUCGCUCAUGAGUUUCAAAGGCGGUGAUUUCGGCGGGAGUAGCAAUUUCGGGGUUGAUUUUCUCGAGCUUCUCAUCGAGGACAUACUCCUUAUCCUCAUAGCGAGCAAUGGUGCGAAUGUAUCUUAUCCAUUCGCUAAAGUUCGUUCCAUCGAAGGUGACCUUUUGGCAAAGGCUCAUCAACGUGAAAGAACUAGCAGCAGCGUUGUUUGCGUUCGACAUCUACAAUUAGAAAAGGACAAAGAUAGAUUAGAAUAAGAAUCCCUAAUUAUCACCCAAUAAGAAAAUUAGGGCUAGGAUCCAACAAUAACAUUUACAUACUAGAAAAGGGAUGCCGUAAUCUAACAUGCAAAUAAAUUGAAGGUAAGUGAAUGACGAUUCACUAAUUCUCCAUCACAAAACUUAAACUAUUAGUCCUAAGUGUUUUUGAGAAUUCCUAGGUUCGGAUGAGAUUCAUUGAAACUAUUCAAUGGCAUGUUUAAAUCUCGAUAUGCCCCUCUUGUUUGUGACUGGGAUGCCGAGGAUCACAAAGCGGGUGUGAAUUACCAUGCAAAUUCACAUGGUGCCUUCAUUGUAACGAUCACCUAUUCGAUGUGCCGGUAAACCACACACGCUCCAUCGAACUAUGAUAAACAAUGAAUCACCCUUUGCCACCUUCGCUUAGAACCAAUUAGUGUGCCGGUAAACCACACACGCUCCACUAACAUCUUAGCAAGGUGCAAAGUGUAAUUUCAUGGGAUUGCAUCAAUUCACUUUUCCUAAAGUAACUAGGAUUGGGAAAUUUUAAAAAUAUGUGUAGUUACUUUAUAUUUCUUAUUAUACUUUUAAUGAGAGGAUGAGGUUGCCCUAUCCUACCCGUUCGGCUAACGACCCUCCACCAAUCAAGCAAGCGGUGGGUGUGAGUGUACACCCAUUAAGCGCCAUUUUAUAGGCCGCAACCUUAUACCCACCUUAUAGAUCGGCUUCGUGAAUGAGGCCUACUAACGGUAAGACUAGCAUUUAGUUAUACAUAUAUAUAUUAUUCUAGUAAUAUCAUAUUAGUAUAGGGUUGUAUUUUAAAACUUUUAAAAUCUAGGGUUUGAAAUUUAAGUUGUCUAAAUUAAAGCUUUUAAUCACAAAAGUAAAUUUCAAAACAUGAGGGUAGGUUUUAAACAUUUAAAACAUGGAGGAUCAAAUAACAAAUAAUUCCAAUUAACAAUUAAUAUCCUAAUUAUCUAUAUUUGAUUUAUUCAAGAUUUUUUUUAAGAUAAUUACCAAAAUAAUUAAAAUAAUUAAUUAAUUAUCAUAUAAGGAAAUUAAAUAUUUAAUUAGUUGAUAAUUACCUUUAACUAGAUCAAGAUAAUAGUUAUAUUUAUCAGAAAAACGAAUUAAUGUUGAUCUAAUUAGUUUAUGGUAAGUUAAGAUAAGAUAAACACAAAGAAAUCCCGAAUCUGGCCAUUCCUGACGCCUGGACUCGCCGAGUGCACAAGGGGACUCGCCGAGUCAGGCCUACUCGCCGAGUCCACCUUGGGACUCGCCGAGUCAGUGACUCAGAAACCAAAAAAUCGAAUUUUGCAGGUUUGUUUCAGUUAAUCAAGCAACAAUUUAAAGAAAACCAAGCUAGGCUCUGAUACCACUGAUGGGUUUUAGCCAUAAGAACUUUCCUAUGUGCGCAUGCAAAACCCUAAUGCUUGGAUCUAGGCUUUCUAAUAAACAUGCAUUGAAUCCAAGUCUUCUAAUGACUAAUUAGGUUAAAUAACAACAUUGAAACAGAUCUAGAAUCAUACCUUUGAGUUCCUUGUUGAUCUUGAGGUCUUGGAGCUUCUAGAGUCACAAAUGUCACUCCUCUAAUGGCUUACAAACACCAAUAGCAAGAAGAAUGAUUUAGGAGAGAGGAGAGGGGAGGAAUUCGGCCAGGGUUCUCUUACUUUAUGAGAUGUGUCGAAUUCCCUAUGCCAUGGGGUCUAUUUAUACUUGUAGACUCCUUAAGGGUUACAACCUAAACCCUAAUUGGAUAAUCUUCUCUUAAGGCUAUCCAAAUCCAUUCCAUAGAUAAGCCUUUGGACGAUUUUAGCUAUCCUAUAUCUCAUAGAAUUCGUCCAUAGCAUAUCCAAAUGGAUUUACAGUCUAAAGCUUAACUAUCAAACAAUUGACAGUUUAUACCCCUUUAUUUAAUUAACCUCUUUAAGUCACCAAAUUAAUUCCAAUUAAUUCUAUGACUUAUAUUAAUCAAAUAACAAUAUAUUAUUCUUUAUAUUAUUCUCAUAAUAUAUUAAUAAUAUUUACUCUCUCUUAAUAAAUCAUCCUAUCAAGUUGCUAUGGUGAAGGCAACCCAAAAGGACCAUGCACAACCGGGUCAAAUACUUGCCUAAUAUAGUUGCAGCCUUAGACACUAUUCCAACACUCUGUACUGACAAAACCCUCUGGCCGAUUCAUGUAAACAUCCUCAGCUAACUUUCCAUUAAGGAAAGCGGUUUUGACAUCCAUUUCCCAUAUUUCAUAGUCAUGAAAUGCAGCUAUGGCUAACAAUACCCUAAUAGACUUAAUCUUGGCUACUGGUGAAAAGGUCUCAUCAUAAUCAACUCCUGGAGUUUGAGAAAAGCCCUUUGCGACCAGUCGGGCCUUAUAAGUUUGUACAUUACCAUCCUUGACGGUCUUCUUCUUGAAGAUCCAUUUGCACCCAACUGUCUUACGACCUGGCACAUUGUCAACCAAGUCGCAGAACUGAUUGUCAUACAUGGAUUGUAUCUUGCUAUCCAUUGCCUCUUUCGAUUUAGCAGACUCAGGGCCUGCCAUGGCUUCCGCAUAGCUGUUAGGUUCAUCCAGGCCUACCAGUGUCUCAUCACUAAUAAGUGUCUAACCUUCUGCAGUAAUAUGGAAACCAUAGUAAUGCUCAGGUACAUUCCUAACCCUUGUGGAACACCUCCGAGGUACAACUGGAGGUAUAAUUUGAUCAACAGGAGGUUCCUCCUCAAUUUGACUGCUAGGGUUUGAGGUUCCUUCACCACUUGACUCUUGAAGUUUUCAAGGUCAAUAAGCCUCCCACUAUGUCCUUGGCUUAUGAACUCUCUCUCUCUCUCUCUCUCUCUCUCUCUCAAAAGACAGCCCUCCUUGCUACAAAGACUACAUUCUCACUAGGUCUGUAGAAGAGGUAACCAAAGGAUUUUUGUGGGUAGCCGAUGAAAAUCACCUCUCGCUUCGAGGUUCGAGCUUGUCAUGAGUCUCGCGUCUCACAAAAGCCUCGCAACCCCAAACCUUGAUGUGAGCUAGACUUGGAACUUUUCCAGUCCACAUCUCGUGAGGUGUUUUGGCAACGUUCUUUGUAGGGAACAGAUUAAGGAUAUGGGUGGCAGUUUCUAAGGCAUACCCCCAAAAUUAUAUUGGUAGCGUAGCUUGACUCAUCAAGGAACGAACCAUGUCCAACAAGGUUCGAUUACGCCUCUCAGCUACACCAUUUAACUGUGGUGUCCUGGGAGGUGUCAAUUGUGAGACAAUCCCACAUUCCCUUAUAUAGUUGAGGAACUCAGUACUAAGAUACUCUCCACCACGAUCGGAUCGAAGCAUCUUAAUAUUCCUGCCCAAUUGAUUCUAGACUUCCUGUUUAAAUUCCUUAAAUUUUUCGAAAGUCUUUGACUUAUGCUUGAUUAAGUAGACAUAUCCAUAUCCACUGUAAUCAUCAGUAAAAGUCAAAUAAUAACGAUUGGCAUCCCUUGUGGCAUGUUUGAAGGUCCCACACACAUCCGUGUGUACAAGAUCCCACAAACCUUCACCCCUCUCACACGAUCCUGUGAAGGGUGACUUUGUCAUUUUUCCAAGUAAGCAUGAUUCGCAACUAUCAUCUGAACUUAGGUCAAAUGACUCCAAGACUCCAUCCUUUUGGAGUUGGCCUAUGCGUUUCUUGCUUAUAUGUCCGCGACGAUAAUGCCGUAAUGAUGCUUUAUCCAUGUUAUUACCAUUAGUAGAAUCAAUACACAUUACAUUAUUUCCUAAGUUAUCUUCAACAGACACAGCUUCAUACACACCAUCACAAGGUAAUGCUUCAAAAUAAAACACAUUAUUAAAGAAAGCAUUUAUUCCACCAAUUUCAUUAUCAAAAGAAAAGGUAAAACCUUGUUUAUACAAAGCAUGAAAGGAAAUAACAUUUCUUGCCAUUUCUGGCGAAUAACAACAUUUAUUCAAAUCUAAAGUAAAUCCACUACUAAGCAACAAAGUAUAAACUCCAAUCUUGGUGACAGGUGAAACUUUCCUAUUCCCCAUGAUUAAGUUUAUCUUUCCAUGCUCCACAUUCUCACUUCUUCUUAGUCCCUGCAAUUCAUAACAAAUAUGAAUACCACAACCGGUAUCAAGGACCCAAGAGUUAGAAUAGAGUGAAUAAUUAGAUUAUAUAGUGUAAAUACCUGCAUGGUUAGGUUUUACUUUCUCAUCCUUCAAAUGUUGCUGGUAUUUUGGACAGUUACGCUUCCAGUGCGCCUUUUCGUGACAAUAGAAGCAUUCAGCCUCUUUGGGAUCAGAAGAAGGUAUAACAAAACCUUUCUUGGUUCCGCUAGAAGAGGAGCCAUCAAGAGUCUUACCCUUGGUACCCUUCGAAGGGUUCUUUCUCUUCUUCCCUCUACCUUUCCCGAUUGCCAGGACAGGUGCUGAGUUUGGAGUAGUAGCAGGAGUGGUCACAACCGACUUACCUUUAAGACCUGAUUUUGCAGUCUUUAAGAGUCCCUGAAGUUUGCUAAGUGUAACUCCUCCUUAUUCAUGUGGUAUGUCAUGCGGAAUUGAUCAUAACACGAAGGCUAAGGAGUGCAAAAUAAUAUCUAUUGCAAACUCCUUAGGGAAGUUCACAUUCAACUUCAUCAAUCGAUCCACAUACCUUUACAUUUUCUGCAUGUGGCUUGUGAUGGGUUCGCCAUCUUUCAUUCGAGUUGUGAUCAUAGAGGAGAUGAUUUCAUAUCGCUCUUGACGAGCACUCUGAUGGUAGCGGUCCAUCAAAUCCUGGUGCAUCUCAAAAGGAUAGUAGUCCUCAUAGGACUUUUGGAGCUCGGCUGUCAUGGUGGCCAUCAUGAUGCAUGCCACUUUGGUAGCAUCUCUUUCAUGAACCUCAUAUUCAGCAAGCUCCUCAGGAUUAGUAGUUGGCUCAGGCACCUUGAGCUCCUUGUCAAGAACAUAUUCCUUGUUCUCAUAAUGAGUGACCAUCCUAAUGAUUCUGAUCCAAUCAGUAAAGUUGGAUCCAUCAAGGAUGACUCUCCCACAAAGGUUCAUGAGAGAGAAGGAGCCGGUAGGGUUUGAGCCAGGAGUAGAAUUAUUGGAAGAUAUCUGAAGAGAAGAAAGAUAAGUUUAAUUUAGAUAUAGCGAUAGUCCUUAAUAAAACACCCAAAUGUAAUAUUAAGGCUAGGAUCCAAUCAUAAUAUAUUAUAACCUAGAAGACGGAUGCCGUAAUCCAAGUUAUAAAAUAUUUGAAAGGUAGGUGAAUGACGAUUCACCAAUUUCCACCAUGAAAAAGAAAUAUAAAUUAUUAGGUUUUUAUUUGGUUUUUAGAAAUUCCUAGAUUUUUUGAGAUUCAUUGAACUUUUCAAUGGAAUGUUUCAAUCUCGAAUGUGCCCUUUAUGUUUUGUGACUGGGAUACUGAGGAUCACAAAACAAGGUGUGAAGUAACCAGGCAAAUUACUUGGUACCCUUAAUGUUUUUCACUUAAUCGUUGUGUCGCUAAACCACACGCGUUUGUUCCGACCACACGAAAAACCUUAAGUCACCCUUUGCCUUCCUUGUUAAGUCUAAGUUUGUGUGCCGGUAAACCACACACGCUCCACCAACGACUUAAACAAGGUGCGAAGUGUAAUUUCAUGGAUUAGCACCUUAUUCACAUUUUUCCUAAAUUAACUAAGAUUGAGAAUUUAUAAAACAUUUAGUUACUCUAUAAUAAUCAUUAUACUUUUAAUGAGAAUUUUUAAGUCGUUGUCCUACGCGUUCGGCUAACGACCCUCCACCAGUCAAGCAAGCGGUGGAUGAGAGUGGAAACCCAUUAAGUUUCCAUUUUAUAGGCAAUAGCCUUAUACCAACCUUAUAGACUGGCUUCGUGAAUGAGGUGUACUAGCGGUAAGACGACUUUGAUCUUAUACAUAUAUAUAUAUAUAUAUAUAUANNNNNNNNNNNNNNNNNNNNNNNNNNNNNNNNNNNNNNNNNNNNNNNNNNNNNNNNNNNNNNNNNNNNNNNNNNNNNNNNNNNNNNNNNNNNNNNNNNNNNNNNNNNNNNNNNNNNNNNNNNNNNNNNNNNNNNNNNNNNNNNNNNNNNNNNNNNNNNNNNNNNNNNNNNNNNNNNNNNNNNNNNNNNNNGACUUUACUUGUUCCAAAACUUGAGGGCAAGUUUUGUAAACUUUCAAAACUUUUCAUUUCUUGUAACUUAUGAGUUAAUUAGAGUAUUAAAAAUGAAGACUCUUCAUUUUUCUAACUCUUGUGUUCUUUUAAUGGUUUUAAUUCAAGUGUGACUCUUGGUUUUCCAUAACUUGAGGACAAGUUAUGGACUCCAUUAAAACACAUUAUGAUCAAGAAUUAAACUACCAAGUAGGUUACAAGUAAUUCCUAUGAUCAUCUAAAUUCAUAAGAUCAAGAACAUGAAUAUCCAUAUCAAAGUUUCAAGACCAUAUGAACACAUAUAAUCAUGAAAAAUUGAUAUUUGCCAUUGUAAAUGGAUUAGAACAAACAUUACACCAUCUAAAACAAGUUUUAUAACACCAAAACAGUUUAGGGUAAUGUUUCUAGUCCAUUUCCAGCAGCAAAAGUCGAAAAUCUGCAUUCUGUGGCUCCUACUCGCCGAUUGCACGAACCUACUCGGCGAGUAGGUUGAAGAUACACAUGAAUUCGGUGAGUCCCCCCAUGGACUCGGCGAGUUCAUCAGGAAGAUUGCACAAAAUCGACUUUUUUCAACUAUUUAGCACAAAUAACAAACAAACAAGCCUAGGCUCUGAUACCACUGAUGAGUUUUGAGCAUUCUAACACUUCCUAAGUGUACAUGGAACCCUNUCCUAAGUGUACAUGCAACCCUAAUAACCUUGGAUCUAUGUUUGUCUAAUUAUCAUGCAAAGUUGAUUUCCAAGGCUAUGAUCCUAUCUAGCAUACAUGGGGAACAAUUUUAACUUGAAUAAAAGAUAGAACUACAUACCUUGUUGUUGAUUUUGAUCCUUGAAACCUUGUGAGCCUAGCACCCCAAGUGUGAUGCCUCAAAUGCUUCACACAACACCAAAUGCUAUGGAGUAAACUUGGAGAGAAAGUAUAACAUUCUAAAAAUCGGCUCUAGCCCUCAAGUAUGCAUGCAUGUGUAGCCGAUUUUGGGAGAAACAUGAGCUUUAUAUAGUGUUAACACAUUUAGGGUUACACCAUGUAAACCCUAAUGUGUCAUGACUCUUCAUUUCCAUGACCCAUGGGUUUGUAACUCCCAUGGAGCAUCCAAUGGGUUUAACCCAACUUCAUUAUCCAUGGAGCCUCUUAGCCCACUAUAUAAGUUAUGGAUGAUUUACAUAAUCAUCCCAUAUAUUUAAUUAGUUAUUUUUUGAUCACUUAAUUAAUUCUAAAAUUAAUUCUUGAUCAAACUAAUUAAAUAAUAUUAUUAAUAUAUUAGAACUUAUAAUAUAUUAAUAAACCACAAGUGUUAUUUCUCUCAUUUAGUCUAUCCAAUUGCAUGGUGCCAUGCAACCCAACUGGACCAUGCCGGGUCGGGUCAAGUACAUACCAAAAAUAGUUAUGGACUUAGACACCUUAUCCAACAACAUGAUGGUGAAGUUUUGACAACAUGUACAUCUAGUUCUACUAAUGCAUGGGUCUUAGACUCUGGAGCAUUCUAUCAUAUGUCAUCCAAUUGGGACUGAUUCAACUCCUUCAAAUAGUAGAAUGGUAUAGUCAAGAUGGGUGAUAAUUCGGUGAGAAGGAUCAAGGGCAAUGGCAUGAUACAUAUCCAAAUAUACCUGAUGGUUUUUAUAGGUUACUAAACCAUUGUGCUUGCGUAAUUUCACUAAACACUUAAGGGCAUAUGCAGCCUAAAGUAUCUAUGUCAUACACACUGAAUGCAACAUAUUAUGAACAAUAAGAAUCUAGAUGAACUGUAAUAUAAUCAAAAUACAAUAGACGAAUUAGGAUUUCAUACCUUUGAUUUGUUAUACUAAACAAAUCACUUCAAUCCUUCAUUUGUAGAGCUUGGAAAGCUAGAACCAAAAGUACGAUGCCUCUAAUGCCUCACACCCGAACCAUAGAACUAGAAGAAAAUUGAGGAAAGCAGAAGAGGAGGAAAUUUCGUUCCUACGCUUUAUAGCAAGUGAAUGAACGAAUUCAAGUGCCUAAGGGUUCCUACAUUAUAGUUUACGUAACUUAGGAACAAAGAAGUAUUUGAAUGGAUUUUAAUCCCAAUCCAAAUCCUUUCCUUAUAUGAAUCCAAGAGAAAUCUUGAAACCCCAAGGAGGCUCCCAAUAUUGUCCACCCUUGGAUGGUGUUGGAACUGUCUCUCUUGUUCAACUAUUGAGCAAUUACAAUUUACCCAUUCCAUCUUUAUUAAUUCCAAUUAAUCUCGAAUUAAUUCCAUAAUAAUUUUGAUUAAUAGCUAAUCAUUUCUAAUUCAUUUUACAUCAAUUUAUUAAUCAUAUAAACUAACAAAUCAAUUAUUUAAAAUUUGAUCGCAUAUCAAUCUAUUAAUCACAUAAUAAAUCAACAUGUCGAUUAUCUAUUUCCAGUUAAUACAUUAAUCACAUAAUAUAUUAACAAAUAUUUUCCUCAUAAUUUCCAAUUAGUUUAUUAAUCAUCUAAUAAUUUAAUAAAUUACCCUUUAUCUAUAAGUAUCAUUCUAGCCAAGUUCUAAUUAUGAGGGCAACCCAAAAAGGACUUUUCUUUCAAUUAUUAUAAUAUAACAAUUUUGUUACUGGCUUCGACACCUUAAUCCAACCAUCUGCCACUUGGAUAAGUCUUUAACUACUACAGAAAGUAUAGCCCUUGAACUAAACAACAAAUAGAGUUUUCCAAAGCCACUACCGAACUCAGAUUCAAAUCAAACGUUUGACCUAAGAUAAGUGAUCAACAAUUAUUUCCUUCUAGAAGAUAUCGAAUGAACAGAGUAAUGGAUUAAAUAAUCAACCUCAUGAUUAUUUAUUAUGUUUCCUGAUUUCCCGAUUCGUGAUCGAAUUCAUACUACAAAAUUGAACACAUCAAUUUAGUCCGGACCAUACCUAGUUCUUAUAUAUCAAAUCAAAUCACUGAGGGGUCCACAUAUAUGGAUUUUCCUGUUUGGUCAAAAGGAAUGAAUUACUUUGACUAUAUAGUCAUACAAUUUACAUAUCAAAUCACACAUGAAAGAAUCCUUUAUAACAUCCAGUGACAAGACACGUUUGAGCUAACUAAUGCACAACUAAUUUGUAAACUAUCAAUUAUAUAUCUCCACUUUAAAAAUAGAAGAUACUAUCCUCUUAUAAUUACUUUCGAUUAAAUCCAUGAAGGAGUCUUUAAGAGUGGAUUUAUCUAGUACUUAAAAUCUCUAUUUUCAAAGUAUUCAUGAAUAUUAUAGCAAUUCCAAUUGCAAUUUCUUAACCUCAAUUGACAAUAUACAAUCAAUUAAUGGCAAUCCUAAGUCACUACUUACUUCCAAAAGUAUGAACGACUGUGGAAUUUUGAAUAAUAUUAAAAUUACUUUGGUAAGUAAAAUAUGCAAAGUUAAACACAGUAAUAAAAUAAUUAACUAUAGUGUCAUACCCAUUGAUAAUAAAUAAAUCUCAAGAUAAUGACCAUAAUAAUUAAAUUUUAUUCAUUGUAUAAUGUUUUGAAUAAUCAACUAAUCACUUGAAUUAGAUAACUGCCAUUUUAUAAACAUGCAUACUAUGCCUCUCAAUGGUCCUUCCUUUGUGAACAUGUCAACUGGUCACUACUCUAAGGAUGCUCAUUUCCCUAUUCCAAUUUCUUAUCCUUAUUUAAGACGUAGUGGAUUUUCAUCUUCACAAGAACAGACCUUUUGUGACAUCGAGGUUCUAAAGUCACAGAGACCGAGCCUUCCGUAUUAUAGAAUGUUCCACUGGAACUUGUUAGUUGAAACAAUUCUAUGGUUAUGAAAUCUCAAAUUAAAGGUACACUCCUUGAACACUUCCCUUGCAUUUAAUUUUCCAACUCAUAUGUAGAUUGAUAAGUAACUCCCAUUGUGUAAAAAUUUCCAUAUUCCUAUAUGACCAUCACUCUCACCAAGAAUCAUCUCAAUCAAGAACAUAUCACUAUGGUCCGUCCUAACAAUAACAUACUCCCAUUAUCUACAAGCAAUCAAUUCUUUAGUAAAACCUUAGAAUGUUCUUGGCAGUUGUUUAUGAUGAGAUAAAAUCUCUUGAUCGUUUUGAUCUUUCACAGGUAUAUUAAUGAAGAACAAACUACUAAAUCAAAAAAGGAAAAGAACACAAUAUAGAAUCAAUAUAAAGCUUAUGAUUCAAACAUAGUCACGCCUUAGCAGAGCUCGAUAAAGAACUUCCACUAUAAAGCCAUGCUAGAGUUUACAAUACUAUGAUCAGAAUAAUAAAAGCAUUAAAAACAAGGGAUGCAUUCAUGCACCCUAAAUACUAAUUCCCUAGAAUAAAAUAAUGCAAGGUUGGACAGGCCCAAACCGGUUACAAAACUGGGCGAAAGCGAACGAGCCCAAGACGCAACAAUAUGAUCCCAACAAUCUCCCCAUUUGCGUCAAUUGGGGCGAGACAUUCACUUCGGUUGUGUGACCUUGACUUGCUUGACAACUUUAAACAACUGAGGAAUAAUAUCAAGAAGCGUCUGCCGAAACUGAAUAUACUAACGAAGCAUAUCAGUAAACAUCUUUUUGUCAGCUUUACUGUUCUGAUUACACCUAUGGAUGAUCUCCAAAAUAUGCUCCAAGCAAGCAGUAGAGAACAUGUGUUUGUCAAUAAGAGCGAAUAUGCAUUUUUGACCUUCACCCCUAAUGAACAUCACCUUAUGAAACUUCGUGUCAAUCUUGCCCUUGAUCAUCAUGUUUACAUUGCUUGGUCUUCCAAUUGGUUUGACCAUAGUACGCUUGUGAAUAACAGUAGCAAUCUGUUGAUCCGUCUUUGCUACUUCAUGAAUGUAAAAAACAAGCAUUCUCUUGAUAUGAUCAAUGAUCGGCUGAUACUCCUGAAGAUUGCAUAGUAGAAUCUUGUUGAGGAGUAUCUAGUCAUGUGGGUUCAGAUUUGGAAGGUCAGCUAGGGAAAUGGUAUGGAUCGAGCUAUCUGAGCCUUGGGUCACUUUGAAUUUGACAUUGAUAAAUUUCCCAACUCAAGAGGGCUUCAAUACCCUGACCGUUGUAAGUUUCUUCAAGCUCUAGGUCAGGUAUUGUGGUUGAGCAAAUUCCAGAUAAAAUUCUAGCAGAUCCCGAUCAACCUUCGUUUCUGGAGAAGGAACGACAGUAGUUGAGGCAAAGCAGUGAAAGAUGAAUGUCUUUCAGUUAAUUGGCAUGUCGAACUGAGCGUCCUUCAAGUUCUGAAGACCGAACGAUAAAACGGGUUCAAGCCAAUGAGUUCUCGGUUCAUCAAUGACUUCCCUCUAGAGCGAUUCAAUAGGCCAUUCGGGAAACAUUGACUUUUUUUUUAUCAAGAAGUUCCUUCUCUUUCAUUUCUUUCUCCAACCGAUCCAUCUUCUGUUAAAGCUCUUGCUCAGAAGGCUUGAAUUUUGGAUAAUGCUUGGAAGGAGCUCCUAUAGCAAUAUCACCAAUAUCAUCCUCCUCAUCUUCAUCAUCUUCUCCAAUGAUCUUCUUUUUCUUUUGACUUUUACUGGCCGAAGCUUCAUUAUCCUUCGGUCCAGUAGUAACUUUCGGUUCUGGAGGAGGUGGAGAUUGAGUUUUUUCAAGUUUGCCUCCUUGGGAUUUCUUUUCUCCCCUUGUUUCGGAAGAACAUCAGUGUCCGAAACACCUUCAAUUCGACUGAGAAGAUCCAAGGCAGGACGUAGCUUCUCAGCCAAGUGACGGUGAAUGAAGAUCGUAAACAUAGAGUCAUGGGCGUCCAGGAGAUGAAGCAAGAUCAAAUGGACACCACUAACAGUGUUGCAAAUCACCUCUCAUUCAGAUUUUAGAUCAUUAAGCUCUUGAAUUGCAGUACAAAUCUUUAAGUUAUGAACUUUGAGCUAGGAGGUUCGCUUGUCUAGCUCAUCCAUGACUUUGUUUUCAAUUGCUAGCUCUGCCUCAAGAUUAGUUAACCGUUCAUCAACUUUGGAAUGAAGCUCUUAAUUAGCAGCUUCAAUGGCUUUACAAGCCAUGCCAAGUAGUGAUAGCUCUACCUCUAAUGAGCGUUUAAGAAAAUCAACCGAAGCAUUCAUGGUAUGUGCAUUUUUCUGAGCAGCAGAUUGAAGGGAAUCUAUAAAGAUUUGUGCUUCUGAAAUUAGUUUUUCAACUUUUGCGGUCGCAUCCUUGAAGUAUUUAGUAGAGGUUUCCAUAGCAAGUGAAGCCUUUAGGAAUUGAGAAAUGGAGGCAUCAAUAGCCUUCGCUGCAUUGGAGAUAGAGGUGUCAUGCUCCUUAACUGCAGAAGAGAAGAGGGCCGUGAGAGCAGCUUCCGAGUAGGGAUUAGCAGAGGAAGAGGAAAGUAACUGAUCAAGCUUAUUAGUCACAGCCUUGAGAUGUCGCUUGGUGAGAGGAGCGUCAUUAGCAUCGUUGCUCUGAACACGAUAAGGACUGAAGUAAGUAGAAUCGACCUCCAUGUCCUCACCUGCGAGAACAAUAUUGGUUUUGGUUGAACGGGUAGGAGAUGGAUGUUUAGUAGUGACAGGGGUUUCAGUUGGAGAAGAACGAACCCCCGUAUUAGAUAUUUUGGUCUGAACUCCCGUGGUAGUGGUAGUAGUAGCGUCGAAAAAAAUGGGUGUAGGGAUGGGAAUAGUGGAAGAAGGUUGGGAUGUGAUAAAUGGGAAGGUUGUGGGUAAGGAAAUAGGAAUAGAAGCAGGUGGAGAAGAAGGAACUGGAGAGCGAAUAGGUACCUCAGGUGUGGGUAAUAUAGGUAGAGUAUCACCACGAGCCGAAACCUCCUCGUCAGAGCUCUCACUCUCUGAUGCACUAGGAGAGGGUCGUUUAUGUCCAACAGGGACAUAAUUAGAAUCCGAAUCGCUCGAGGACAAAAGAAUAAGCCUCCGAGCAAGUUUCUUUCUCUUUUUCUGCUUGGGCUGUGAAGGUGCUGCCUUCUCAGUCUUUCGUUUCUUUGGAGUUUGUCUCUUAUGUCCUUUGAUUACCAGUCCUUCAUUCAUUUUAUCUUGUUUCUUUCCCAUAUUGGAUGGUUUAUCUGCUUCCUCAAUGGAACGAACCAUUGCUGGUGUGAGUUCCCUUGGGCCCGAAUCUGGAAGUUUCUUGUAUGCAUGAAUCAUUGCACUUUGUUCAGGCACACAUGCAUACAUGGAUGCUGGAAUCGAUCCAAUAAACAAAUCCUUGGACAUAUUAGUGACUAGAAUCUUGGUUGUAUGAAAUGUGGCAAUGGAGGAGAGAAGCAAAUCUACCAUGAUUGGGACAUGUAGACGAUCCAUCACCUAUUUUGUGACAAUAGACCAGAACCUUCCACAGUAAACUUCAUAAUGGCGUGAAGAAGAGGAUAAGCUUUGAACAAGUUGUUGCCAUACAACUGAGCCAUAAUCCAUACAUACCCCAUUGUACAAACCAUAAAGCAUGGUCAUAAAUGACUUGCUUGCACCAUCAGAUCCAGCGCUUCGCUCAGAAAGACCUUUGAACAACAAUGUGAAGAGGCCAUUCCAUUGAGGAGGAAGGCAAGAUUUCUUCAACUUCGUCACUGUGGUUAGGGUUGUUGGAUUAAUGUCUAAGUCCAUAACUAUAAUUGGUAAGACUUGACCCGACCCGGCAUGGUCCAUUUGGGUUGCAAACCUUCAUGCACUUAGAUAGACUAUAAUGAGAGAAAUAAGACACUUAUGGUUAUUAAUAUAUUAUAAGUUCUAGUAUAUUAAUAAUAAGAAUAAUAAGAUUGUUUAAUUAGUAUUGAUCAAGAAUUAAUCUAUGAUUAAUUAAGUGAUCAAAAGAAGACUAAUUAAAUAUAUGAGUUGAUUGUGUAAAUCAUCCAUACUUAUAUAGUGGGCUAAUGCUCCAUGGAUAAUCAAGUUGGGCUAAAACCCAUAGGUUGGUCCAUGGGUGCUCCAUGGUGUAUUUGAACCCAUGGAUCCAAGGAAAUGGAAAGUCAUGACAAUUAAGGAUUUACCCUAAUUGUAACACUAUAUAAUGAUCUUAUUCUUGACAAAAAUCGGCCACUAGGAUUAUUCUAGAGAGGGCUAGCCGAUUUCAUGAAGUGUAGAACUCUCUCAAGUUAUUCUAAGUGUUUUGAUAACUGUGAUUCCAUUUGAGGCUUCCACACUAUUGGGGCUAGGCACUCAAGCUUCAUGAAGACUUUCUACAUCAAAGAGGUAUGUAUUCUAUCUUGUUAUAUUCAUGUUUUGUAUGAUAGAUUAGGAUGAUACCUUGGAUAUUCUUAUUUGCAUGUAUAAUAGAGAAAACAUAGAUCCAAGGUAUUUAGGGUUGCAUGUACACUUAGGAGUGUUAGAAUGCUCAAAACCCAACAGUGGUAUCAGAGCCUAGGCUUGUUUUCUUGUUAUACUUGCAAAUGGAGCUGAAAAAUCGAGUUGUGAUGCUGUCAGCCCAGCAGACUCGCCGAGUCCAUGAAGGGACUCGACGAGUCCAAGGCAAAAUUCAUCCAACUCGCCGAGUUAUGUUCAUGCACUCGACGAGUUGGACCCCAGACAGCAUAUUUUCGAGGUUUUUGGCUAGAAAUGGACUAGGAACAUUACCCUACGUUGUUUUUGAACUUAUAAACUUGUUUUUUAAUGUGGUAAUGUUCAUGCUAAUCCAUUUUCAAAGAUAAUUGUCAAUAGAUUCAUGUUUUGUAUUAGUUUAAGGUUUAGACUAAUUACAUGAAGAAGUUUGAUAUGAAUUAUCUUGUUCUUAUGAGUUGCUUAGAUUAAUAGAAAAGUUAAUUGAAAUAGUUGUUUUCAAUCCAUUUUAAUCUAAGAGUUGAGUACAAAAUGUGUUUGUGUAACUUGUCCUCAAGUUACAUGAAGAGUCACAUUAAAGACUCAUAAAACUCAUAAAAGUUGGUAAUGGUUACAAAAUGAAGAGUCUUGUGUCAUUGAAUUUUUUUUUUUUUGACUCCAUAACUUGUCCUCAAGUUAUGGAAAUUCAAGAGUCACUUCAUUAAUAAAUAAAUAAAUAAAUAAAGUGUAACCUUAAUUAAUUCCAUAAGUUAUAAAAAUAAAGAAAAGAUUAAUUCUUUUAUUAGUUUAAAGUCUUCCAUAAGUUAUGGAACUUGAAGAGUUUUUUGGAUUAAAACUACUUUAAACACAUAAGUUAUGGAAUUAAUUAGUUUUGAAUAGUUUCAAAACUUGCCCUCAAGUUUUGGAAUUUGAAAAGUUUUCACUUAUGAAUACUUUAAUUCCAAGUUAGCCCUUAGAAUUUUAAAAAAUAAAAUUCAACCCUUAUACUUUAUAAUAUUAUAAGUUAAUAAUAUAUAUAUGUAUAAGAGUAAAGUCAGUCUUACCGCUAGUACGCCUCAUUCACGAAGCCGGUCUAUAAGGUGGGUAUAAGGUUGUUGCCUAUAAAAUGGCAACUUAAUGGGUGUCCACUCUCACCCACCGCUUGCUUGACUGGUGGAGGGUCGUUAGCCGAACGGGUUUGACAGGACUAGAAUUCUCCCUUCAUUAAAAGUAUUAAUGAUAAUACUAAGUAACUAAACUCUUAAUAAUACCCAAUCUUAGUUACUUAGGAAAAAUGUGAAUAAGGUGCUAAUCCAUGAAAUUACACUUUACACUUUGUCUAAGUCGUUAGUGGAGCGUGUGUGGUUAACCGGCACACUAACUUGGACUUAACAAGGUAGGUAAAGGGUGACUUAAUAUUUAUCAUAGUAUCGAUGGAGCGUGUGUGGUUAACCGGCACAUCGAUUGAGGGGUAAUUUAUUAAGGGUACCAAGUGAUUUGCAUGGUUACUUCACACCUUGUUUUGUGAUCCUCGGCAUCCCAGUCACAAAACCUGAAGGGCACACUCGAGAUUGAAACAUGCCUUUGAAAAGUUCAAUGAAUCUCAAAGAUCUAGGAGUUUCAAAACCAAUUAAAACCUAAUAAUACAUUUCGUUUAUCUUGGUGGAAAUUGGUGAAUCGUCAUUCACCUACCUUCAAAUAUUUUAUAGCUUGGAUUACGGCAUACCUCUUCUAAGUUAUAAAAUAGUUUGUUGGGUCCUAGCCUUAAUAUUUCAUAUUGGGUGUCAUAUUAAGGACUUUAAAUCAACUAUCUUGAAUAUCUCCCAAAAGAUGUCUGGUUUAGACACCUAUGAUCUUCCCAAAUCUCUUGAAACAAGGUUUCCUAAUGAAGAUGAUGUCCCAUGGAUAUCAUACUUCUUUCUCCUCCUCCAAUUAUUCUCCCUAACCCACAAGUUCUUGAAAAGUUUAAGGUCACUCAAGCCCUAUUGGCAAGGCAAGGUCUAGGUGUGAUCACAUCUUGGAGAUGUAGUCACAUAUUGACAAGCCGGGAGAGUUGGGUGUCAAAGUCUUGAGAAAGUUGGUGGUUCAAUCACUUUCUAAGUCACAUAGUGAGUUCCUUUGGGACACCUAUGAAACAGACUAUGACAAGACCCUUAAUGAUCUUAUCUAUUUGCUAAGAUCAACUUCCUAAAACUUUAUGGACAUUGACAAUGAUGACAUUGGAUAUCCAGUAAAGCAUUCUCUUCCCAAUGGAAAGGGAUCGGCCAUAGUCAACUCGGUUGACCAAAUGGUAAAGAGAAAAGCUAAGUCUGUGAUAGUCCCGUGUACCAUUAUCAAAGGGUCCAUAUGUUUAUAUUGCCAAAGGAAGGGGCAUUGGUUGCGAAGCUGCCAAAUUUACCUAAGGAUGUUAAAGUCAAUAAGUUUGACUCUACUUCAGGUAAAGUCCACUAUCUAACUCUGUUAAGUUUCUAUUCUGAGAUUCUUGAUACAUGAUGUGACUGGGUCACAUGGUGAUGUUUUAAGAAUCAAAGAAAAGUGAAGAAACUUAAAGAAAGAAUAUGCUGAAUCUGAUGGCGUAGAUGGAUUUCUAUCGCAUAGUUUGAAGAUCGGAUUCUUGAGCUACUUCUUAGGAGUUAUGAGAUAUUGCUUAGGAAUAGAUAACAACAAGUUUUCAUAUGGAUUGUAAGGAUAAGUUUUUCCGCAAAGUUUUAAAAUAAAAGAAAAUUUUUUUGAUUUUAUUUAUUUUAAAAUAUCCUUACAAUGGCUUUUGAGGAAAAAUUGUUGCUUAUAUGAUUCCAUUAAGAGCAAGAGUGGAAAUAUGAAAUUGAUUCUUUCAUUUGUGGUAAUGUCUAGAUUUACCAAAUAAGGAAAGAUUCUCAUCACCCAAGUUUCAAUUGGACCGGAACUUGGAAUCAUGCAAGUUGUAUAGCAUGAUGAAUGAGAACUUUCAAGUUUUGGAAAAUUAAGACUAAUUACUUGUUCACAUGGAUGUGUGAGUCAAGUAAAGGACUUAGGGAUCGAGUACACAUUCUUGUGCACUGAUUAAGUCCACCACUAAAGAUCGAUAAGAAGAAUCAAAUAAGGCAGAAGGAUAAAAGUUUCUCAAAUCUGAAAAGAUGGGAGAGUACUUUAGUAUCAGUUUUGUGAUCAUCUUAAUGAUUAAGAAACCAUAUCAAAAUUAGUUCUCUAAGGAAAUCUUAGUGCAUUCUUAUGACUAAGAAGAGGAACUUGAAUUGUUGAAAUGGUUAAAUCAAGAAGAUGAGUCAUACUUCGUUCCAAUACAAGUCUUAGAGUCAUACUCCAAGAUUGUCAUUUGAGUGACAUGUCUUAAAGAAGGUUUAAAACACUUGUCAAAUGUAAGAGUAAAAGUUUUCUACUCUUGUACAUUUGAAAUUGGUAAGUUGUGAUGUUUUGGAUAAAACAAAGACCAACUUAGGCCAAUUGGGUAAAGUGUUUUUCUUGAUUAGAAUCCGCACUAUCUCUUGGAUGUUUGACAAGGGAGUCUUAUAUGUCAAGAGGACAGUGGGAGUCUUAAAGGUCUUGAAAGUCUCAAGAAAUAAUCAAGAAUAAAACCUAAAGUUCUUCACUAGCACACGACUUGAGGUUUAUAACCUAUCGUGUUGACAUAUCUGUGCCCAUUCCAGUUAAAGUUGGCUUUGCAUAUGAGUUCUUAGAGUUCUCAGUUUGUUGCAUAACAACUUGGAAGCAAUGGCAGGCCCUUGAGCUGCCAGGUGGCAAGAAGUUAAGAUUGAGUUCAAUCCAUAUGGUUUUGGAUUUGUCAUUAUCUUUGUCUUGUGAUUAUGGUUUGACAAAUUCAUAUGGGUAGGAACUCAUACACCAUAUAAAUCUAAGUGUCAUAAGGUUUCUCUCCGAUUCAUGAAAAUGAUGGUGAGGAAACGCUUUCACUAAGUAGAUUUUACGAAGAUAUCAAUUGUGUUAUUUGCAUUUUCAAAAGUCGUUAGUGGAGCGCGUGUGGUUAACCGGCACACUAACAUGGACUUGUGAGAAAUGGCAAAUGCCUAAGCAAUUGAGACCAUGAUUACGGUAUCCCUUUUCAUGGUUCUUGAAAUUGCUUAGACACACAGGUGAGCUAUCUACGGAAAGGGUGUAUGAAUCUAAAUUUCAGACUGUCCAGCUGAUUUCUGAGUACAUGUCAAAGCUAGUGGGAGCAUAAGUGUUAUGCUAAUAAUCAUCAUGUUAGUGGGAGCAUGAUAAUUAUGAUAAGUAUUGCAAGUUAGCAAUGUUAAUUAUAGAAAACAAAAGUUUCAAUUGGGAAAAAGUUGUUUUGCUAUAAUUAAGGGAGAGGAAAUUAUGCUUCAUCUCAAAUCUAUAAGCUUAGAUCGUGAGGUUUUAAUCAUUUAGUCAAGGAUAUAUAUGAAUUUCAUGUUGGAAUGGCUCAACAUAAGGAAAUUCUGUAUAUGGGUCCAUUAUUUGCGUUCUAAAAUUCGAUUAUGAUUACGGCAUCCCUUUUCAUAAUCUGAAUUAUGAGAACUUGGCAAAUUGAAAUGGAAAUAUUAUAGCAAAAGACUGGUUUAGUCUUUAUGUAAGACAUCAUGAAUCGUGUCCCAUAUGCUUCGGAUAUAGGAUCGAUUACAUGUGCUAUAUUCAUCCGUUCUAAAAUUUUCCAAAUGCCUGGGGCAUUAAGAAGGGAAAAGGUUUAGAACUGGAUAUGACUAAAAGGAUUAAACAAUUGUCGAGGACAAUCUAAGGUUUACCAAAGAUUGGUUACUCAAGGACAAUUGGAAGUAUAGUGAUAAUUCUGGAAGGACCAUAUUGACAUAAUCUGUAAGGAGGCAACUCUUGUUCAGAAGUGAUAGUCAAAAUGGAAUCUGGAAAUGUUUCAAAGUUAGAAUUUUCAAUCUGUGUAAGAUUAAGGAAACUUAAUGCAAGAAGGAUAUUUCCAAGGAGUUGAUCUCCUUUGGAAUACUCUGUAAUGAUUGUUGCCAAGUCUUUGUGACUUUGUGCAUAAUCAUUACAAGAGGAUCAAUGCAUAUAAGUUUAGAAUCUAACAGAUUUCAGUAAAUGGCAUGAAUUUGGAAUUCUUGCAUUUGCAGUAAGGAUUUGGGAGUGUGAAAAGAGAAUCAUUGAAGUUAUGUUCAAUUGAUCUAGUUCACAAAGUAAAGAUCAUAGACAAACAUAGUAUGCAUACUUGGUGUGUGGCAUGACUAGUGUUUAAGAAAACAUAGUGUACAUGCUUGGAGCAUGGGACAACUAUUGUUUUAAAUUCAAGAAUAAAGUUGAUAGCUGAAACAGUAUACAAUGAAUAAUGUGUAAUCAUAUGGUGAUAAAUAAAAGGUGUUUUAUUUAUGUUCAAAGGGUUGAUACCAUAUUGGAUUCAAUUAUUAUUGUGUUUCAUUUUGCAUGUUUUGACUUCCCGAAUAAACUGGGUUAUUCUUCCGGAAUGACUAAGUUAUUCAAACCAUCCACAGUCGGUCAUAUGUUGGAAGUAGAUAUGAAUUAAGACUGUCAUGGGUUGGCUUGUAGAGGUCUAAGGUGUUGGACAAAGGGCUACAACACUCAUGAGUGCUCAUAAGUUCUGAGUAUUGGAUUCAACCCGCGCUCAUUGGAAUCACUUCAUGGAUUUUAUCACGAGUGAUCAUGAGACGAUAAUAUCUUAUAUUCUUCAAACCUAGAGAUAUGAGUUGUUACUAUGAGUUGAUAGUACAUUGAUUGCACGAAAACGCAUUUGGUAACUCGGUGCUAUAAAACGUGCCUUUGUGUAUGAUUCAACAAGUAGUAGAACAAGCCAUAUGAGUCGAAGUUUAUCCAUUCCUUUUACCUUCGGGAUAAAAGCGAUAUCUGUGGGCCCCUCGAUGAUUUGAUGAUGACAAAUGGAAGUGCUCGGCCGGGCCAGGACUGAUUUGAUUUGUUCAAUUAGUCAGUCGUCAUAAAUCGGAAAUCGGGAAACAACAAAUGGACAGAGAGAAUGAUUAUAAUCCAUGUCUCAGUCCAUAUGAUAUCUAGAAUGGAGGAAUAUAUGAUCCCUUAUCUAAUGGACAAGUCAUUGACAAAGGUCAGAGUUCAUCUACAAGGUCAGAGUUCGACAGAAGCUUUUGAGAGCUACGAUUGCCAGUUGGUUCCUGAAGUCAUACGCAAUAAUAGUUUUAGACUUAUCCAAGUGGGAGACUGUUGGAUUAAUGUCUAAGUCCAUAACUAUAAUUGGUAAGACUUGACCCGACCCGGCAUGGUCCAUUUGGGUUGCAUACCAUCAUGCACUUGGAUAGACUAUAAUGAGAGAAAUAAGACACUUAUGGUUAUUAAUAUAUUAUAAGUUCUAGUAUAUUAAUAAUAAGAAUAAUAAGAUUGUUUAAUUAGUAUUGAUCAAGAAUUAAUCUAGGAUUAAUUAAGUGAUCAAAAGAAGACUAAUUAAAUAUAUGAGUUGAUUGUGUAAAUCAUCCAUACUUAUAUAGUGGGCUAAUGCUCCAUGGAUAAUCAAGUUGGGCUAAAACCCAUAGGAUGGUCCAUGGAUGCUCCAUGGUGUAUUUNAAGUCAUGACAAUUAAGGAUUUACCCUAAUUGUAACACUAUAUAAUGAUCUUAUUCUUGACAAAAAUCGGCCACUAGGAUUAUUCUAGAGAGGGCUAGCCGAUUUCAUGAAGUGUAGAACUCUCUCAAGUUAUUCUAAGUGUUUUGAUAACUGUGAUUCCAUUUGAGGCUUCCACACUAUUGGGGCUAGGCACUCAAGCUUCAUGAAGACUUUCUACAUCAAAGAGGUAUGUAUUCUAUCUUGUUAUAUUCAUGUUUUGUAUGAUAGAUUAGGAUGAUACCUUGGAUAUUCUUAUUUGCAUGUAUAAUAGAGAAAACAUAGAUCCAAGGUAUUUAGGGUUGCAUGUACACUUAGGAGUGUUAGAAUGCUCAAAACCCAACAAGGGUUUCAGUAUACUCCAUAUUGUAGAACAUUGAGAACAAUUAACCAGUGGUGAUGGAAUCGAAGUUUACCAUGGUGGGUUCAUGAGCAAGACCUAGCAGGUUGUAGAAGCGAUUCUUGGAAAUCGAGGUCUUCUCAUUGUGAAUGUCGAAGAGUAGUCUCUCAGCAACUUUGUCGUAGUAUACAGUGGAGUAGAUGUGAGAGAGGCAAGACAUGGGAACAACCUCCACCUGGGAUAGAGCGAUAACAAGUGGAUACUAUUUGAGGCACUCCACCACUUGCAUCAUGUAGGGUUCAUAGGCUGAUGACAUAAGGUCGAUAAUGAGAUUCUGGUUGGGUUUAAUGGCCAGAAGUGUUGAAUGAACAGAGGUGUCUUGAACAGAUGAGGAUUCAUCCAUUGAAGAAGCUUGAGAAAAAGACGAUGAACAGGAAAAGAAAUGGUCUUUUCCUUUAGAAGAAUUGAGAGCGGUAAAAGAGUAAAGUAGAGUGGGAGAAACCCUUUUAUACGUGAGAGAAGGAAAGAGAAAAAUCUGCCCAAAAUCUUGUCCUUUGUGAAACAGUUCCUAAUAUAGUGGGAAUUGGACGUUUGGAAACCCCGAUGAUUACGCAGGAGAGAGAAAAAUAUUUCACCUUUCCAUAGAUAUCACCUUUUUCAAAUCGACGAAACUUUUUGAUAAUUGCUGACUCAUCCAUUGUACUUUAUCUGAAACGUCACCAACAGAAAUAAAAUGAACCCUUAUCAACUUGAUUAUUUAGUUUGAAAAACAUCAUAAUGCUUUUAGAACGCAAUCCAUACGAAAAAUAGAACAAUAUUUUUGGAAAAUCAAAGAUUUUCGUCCAUAGAGUGUGAAUGAAAAAGAAAUAAAUCGAACUUUAUGGGAUAUUGUGAUGUCGAUUAAGACAUGAAACAGUGGAUCCCGGGCACGAAUCUCUUCCUUUCAAUUCAAAAGAGACUUCAAAGUGUCUGUGAGGUUUCCCGUCAGAAUAUGAUCAAGUGCCUUUUAAGAGGCAAUGAAAGGCAUCUUUUAUAUAUUAGGCUUGUAUGGGUGGCUUUUGCUUCAAUUCAAGUUUCAGUUCUUAAUAUAAGACCGAAAGAGAAAGAAUACUUGUGAGACCAAUGUGGCCUAUUGAACAAGUAGGUUUAACAUGUAUCCAGUGGCUGUUGAAAAUAAGAAAUCUCAAAACAAAAUAAAACUGGAUCCUUGGGGAAGAAAAGUCUUGGUGAUAGACAAUUUCAAAAGGAUCACUCAAAAUAAAAUGAGGUUCGAUUGGUGAAAGGUAGAACAUAGUAAUUGUUCACUAUCAAUGCAUUAUGGGUAGUGAAUUGUGGGUUUCACUUAGUACCUAGUAACACGAGACUAAGAUCAUAAACACAGAGUGUUGUGUAACCAUAAACCUCAAUGGUAGGAGCUAAGAGUCUCAAGGGUUACAUGAAUGAUAUGAAGUGAGAUGGAGAAAAAUGAUGUAGGUUGUUUAAGAAGCGAAUGUACAUCUGUUAUAAAAGUAGGACCAAGCAGAAAACUCUAAACUCAACAUGAGAAGAGUAAGGUAGCUUACGAUUAGAGAGAAUGUAACAGCCUAAUUGGGAAAACAUGAGUUGUAUAUAUCACAUUAUUAAGGCUUCACUCAAAAUCUAGAGAGGCUUUGUUCAACAUGCAGCAGCAUGCAUCUAGGGACACUUAACUAAUCUAUAUAAAACAAUUUAUACUUGAUUCAGCUCCAUCACUGAGAGUAACUUUUAGACAAAGAAAAACAAAAGAAAAAUGAAAUAAAUAGAGAAUCUUUUUGUAUUUUGUGAAAAAUUUCGAAAGAAAGAGAAAUAAGAACAAAAGGAAAAUUAUUUUGGAGUUAAUGAAAAUAAAAGAAAUUAAAAGAAAAGCAUAAAAAUGAGUAUGUAAAACAAAUGUACAAAUGAAUACAACCAAAAUACCUUUUAGUGAAAAAGAAGUGAACUGAGUGCAGCAGGACUGAACCUGAAAUAGACCGAGCGUUCGGUUCAUUUCGGUUCCCGUGUACCACUAUUGGGUUUUGAGCAAUCUAACACUUCCUAAGUGUGCAUGCAACCCUAAUAAACCUUGGAUCUAUGUUUGUCUAAUACAUGCAAAAUAAUAAUUUUUCCAAGGUUCAUAACUUAUCUAACAUGGCAUGGGGAACUUUUAAACAUAAAAGAGUUAGAUGAGAUUACAUACCUUUUGAUGAGAUUGAUUCCUUGGAGUUUGAGAGCCAAGCACCAAUAGUGUGAAUGCCUCAAAUGGAAAUCACAAAUCACCACAAACACUUGGAAACCUUUAGAGAGUGUACACACACUUGAAAUUUUCGGCCACACACAAGCACACACACUAGUGGCUAUUUCAUGCAACAUAAGCAUGCUUAUAUAGUGUACAUGGUUAGGGUGAAACCCUAAUAACCCAUGACCUUUCCUUUUCCAAGGAUCCAUGGGUUAAAAGCUCCAUGGAUCAUCCAUGGACUUCCAUAUAAGCCUAGCCCAUUAACAAAUGAGUGUUAGCCCACACCAUAUAAAACCAAUAGCCCAUAAUCUAAUUAGUCUUCCUUUUAAUCUCUAAAUUAAUGCAUAAUUAAUCUAAGACUAAGACUAAUUAAAUAACAUAACUUCGUAUUAAUAUAUUAUAACUUAUAAUAUAUUAAUAAACAUAUGUGUAUAACUCUCAUAAAAUUAUCCAUAAAUAGUUCGGGUGAAGUGCAACCCAAAUGGACCAUGCCAGGUCGGGUCAAGUAUAUACCAAAUAAGUUAUGGACUUAGACACCUUAUCCAACAAAACGAACCUGAAAUAGACCAAGCGUUCGCUCUAUUUCGCUUCUAACCUUUAAUGAAGCAAAGGAGAUUUCGGUACUGAUUCAGCUUCCAUCAUUCCCAGGCCUUGAAGGAUCUUAUUGAAACUUGCUUCAUGUAAGGCCUUAGUAAAGAUGUCUGCUAAUGGAUCAGUGGUUCUGACGAAAUGAAUUUCUACGUUACUGUCUUUCACAAGAUCUUUGAUGAAGUGAUAUCGCAGUGCGAUGUGCUUUGUCUUUGAGUGUUGCACUGGGUUAUGACAAAUCCUAAUUUCACUUUCUGAGUCACAAUAUAGUGGGAUUUUCUUCAUGUUUAGCCCAUAGUCUCUAAGAUGACUUUGUAUCCAAAUGACUUGAGAUGUGCAUGAGGCGGCAACAAUAUAUUCAGCUUCAGCUGUGGAGAGCGAAACACAGGUGUGUGCCUUUGAUUUCCAGCUAUCUAAUUUGCCAUCAAGAAGUUGGCAUCCUCAAGUAGUGCUUUUGCGAUCCAAUCCACAACCCCUAGGCCAGCAUCUGAGAUUGCUUGGACAAAAAAUCAUGAGUUGGCUAGAUACCAUAGACCGAGAGAGGAGGUUCGGUUUAGAUAGCGAACGAUGUUCUUCACUGCCAGCGUGUGAGGUUCUCAUGGGUUGGCUUGAAAUCGAGCAUAAUAUCAGACUGAGAACAUAAUGUCCGGCCUGCUGGCUGUAAGAUACAUCAGUGAUCCAAUCAUCUGACGAUAAAGCGUCAUGUCAGGAGUCGGUUUGUGUAAUGAUGGUGUCAGCUUGGUUCCAAACGCCAUAGGAACAUUCACCAUUGAAUCGAAUAACAUCCCAAACUUGGAAAGUAAUGUCUUUGUGUAUGCCUCCUGAUUGAUAAAAAUGCCUUCGGGUCCCUGUCUAAUAUUUAAGCCAAGGAAAAAGUUAAUUGGACCCAUUGAGCUCAUCUCAAAUUUAGUUUCCAUCAACUUCCUGAAUUCAACUGUUAGGCUGGGAUUCGUGGAGCCGAAGAUGAUGUUAUCAACAUAAAUUUGGACUAUUAUAAGGUGGUUAACCUCUCUCUUACGAAAGAAGGUUGGGUCAACUGAACCUUGUUUAAAUUUGGACAUUUUUAAGAAUCGAGUGAGGCUUUCAUACUAUGCUCUGGGAGCCUGCUUCAGACCAGAUACUGCUUUGUCCAAAAUAUAGCAGUGAUCUAGAUGCUUCUCGUUCAUGAAGCCAGGCAAUUGCUCUACGUACAUAGUUUCUUCAAGUUCCCCGUUGAGAAAGGCCCACUUCACGUCCAUUUGAUAGACUUCAAAAUUCUUGUGUACAUCAUCAGCAAGAAAGAUUCGAACUGAUUCUAAUCUUGCAACUGGACCGAAGGUCUGUUGAUAAUUUGUACCUUUCUCUUAACAGUAUCCUUUCACCAUCAACCGGACCUUGUUGUGAAUCACAUUCCCUUCCUUGUCCAUCUUAUUUCUGAAUACCCAUUUGAGACCGACAACCGAAGCAUCUUUUGGAGUUGGAAUUAGACACCAUACUUUGUUUCUUUCAAACUGGUUCAGCUCUUCUUGCAUGGCUUGAACCCAAUCAGAAUGAUCAAGAGAGUUGAAUUCAUCAUCUCCGGUUCAACUUUGGAGGCGAAAGAGUUGAACAUGCAAAAUUAUACUUGAUUGAAUAAUGCAACUUGCUUCGCUUUCAACUGUGAUCGAGUUAAUACCUUUACAAACGAUUCCUCAAUGAUUUGACUUUGAAGAUGAUAUUUGGUCCAUUUAAUGAGAGGAGGGUAAUUUGUAUCACAAGUGGGAUCUAGUUCUGCAUUGAUUUCUUCUUCAAAUAAUGAUUGUGUAUCAUCAUCAUUAGCAUUUGUAUUCUCCCCCUCGAAUGAUGACACGAGUUCAAUUUCUAGAUCAGAACCCUCCCCUUCAUUUUGACUUUCGGUUGAACUUGAUGAUUGUGAUGAUGGAUUCUGCCCUUGAAAUGAUGAAACCUGAUUAUUUGGUGGAGACGAACCCUCCCCCUAGAUAGAAGGACAAUCACCAGAUGGUUCGCUUGAGUCUAGCCUUUUAGUUGCCUUUGGUUGUUCAACUGCCAUCUUCUGUGGAACAUCAUCAAUAAUUUGCUUCAAACUGUCAACUCGGUUAUCUUCAGCCUUGGAUUUAGAAUCAAUAGCUUUUUCUGGUUGAUUGAAGAGUAGCAUAUAUUGCUCGGAAAGAUUUCAAAUCAGCACAGUAACUUGACUAGACUUUGGAAAGAUUUCAUGCACUGCACCUUCAGUUGUUUUCAACUUCUUGACAUAACUGUCAUCGAAAGUGGCAUAAUAUGUUUCUUCAAUCUUCUUUGAGCGUUUAUUCAGAACUCUAUACGCCUUAGAGUUCAAGGAGUAGCCCAGAAAUAUCCCUUCAUCGGCCUUAGCAUCAAACUUGUUUCGAUUCUCAUUUGAGUUGAAAAUGAAGCAUCUUGAACCGAACACGUGAAAGAACUUCACAUUAGGCUUGCGGUUGUUCAAGAUCUCAUAGGGAGUGAUUAAGAAGCGCUUGUUUAGAUACGAUCUAUUCCGAGUGUAACAAGCAGCAACAAUAGCAUCAACCCAGAAAUAUAAAGGCAAGGAAGCGAAGCUCAGCAUAGUUCGAGCUGCUUCGCACAGAGAACGAUUUCGCCUUUCGACGAUUCCAUUCUGAUGUGGAGUAUAUGGAGCAGGAAAAAUUGUGAGUCAUUCCCUUCUCAACUAGAAAAUCUUCAAGAUCCUUGUUCAAGAAUUCUAAGCCGUUGUCGGUUCUUACGUUACAAACCACUUUUCGUAGUUGAAACUCUACUUGCUUUGUGAAGAGUUUGAGCUUGGGAGUUGUUUCUGAUUUUUGAUUCAAGAAAAAUACCCAUGUCAAGCGAGAGAAGUCGUCUACGAUGACAAGUAUGUACUUGUUUCCACCAAUGCUUUCUAUAGAGGAAGGACCACAUAGAUCGAUAUGUAACAGCUCUAAUGGUUCUAUCACCUUUGUGUUAAUAAUAGAAGGAUGGCUUUUUCGACUUUGCUUUCCCAUUUCACAAGCUGCACAUAGAUGUUCUUUGUCAAAUUUGAGAAUUGGAAGGCCUCGAACGUGAUCUACAAGUACCAGCUUGUUAAUAUAUUUGAAAUUUAGAUGAGAGAGCCUUCGAUGCCAUAGCCAGCUUAUGUCUGAGUGUGCCUUCGUUAGCAAGCAAACAAAUGGUUUCCCUCUAAUUGGAUUGAAAUUUAAAGGGUACAUUUCUCCCUUUUGCUUCGACUUCAGCAAAAUAUGAUUUCACUUCUUUUCAACAAUCUCUGAGCCUUCGUCAUCAAAGGAGACCUUCAAUCCGGUGCCAACCACCAGCUGUGAGACACUGAUGAGGUUGUGCUACAAUCCUUCAACGUAUGCAACCUUUCUGAUUGAGAAGUCGCCAUUUGUAAUCAUUCCAUAGCCUUUGAUAGUUCCAAAUGAAUUAUUGCCAUACUUCACCGUUCCACCAUCCUUGAGAGACCGAAACUCCCUCAGUUCUUCCCUUCUUCCUGUCAUGUGACGCGAGCAGCCAUUAUCAAUGUACCAUUCUUCGUCAAACUGCUCGUCACGAAUAACCUACAAAAUAAGUAGAUUUAGGAACCUAAAGUUUAUUGGGUCUUUGUGAGCCUUUUACAGGAGAUGGAAUAGUAAGAGAAACAUCAACCAGAAAAGUUCUUUUUAUUACAGUUGUUUCAUCUUUUCUUUUUAUUGUAAAAACUUUGAUUUUGUUUGACCUAGACUCAUUUGAUUUAGACGGAGGAUUUGUGGUGUUGAUGUCUGCAUACUUUUGGGUCUCUUUUGGGCAUCUAUCGUCUUCUAGAAAGAGCUUUCCUUUCCCUUUUGAAUCUUUAGACGAGUGAGAAUUAGAAUAAGAAUGAGAAGAAUGAGGUUUAGAAGCAAGAUUAGAUCGUUGAUUAUUGCUCUUCCUUGAUUGAGUAUGAAGAAUUUAUUCCCUUCGGUUCUUCUGAUAAUUGGAUUUGGGACUGAACCCAUCCUUUAGGUUGCUUACAAGUUCAGGACCAAAACCUUCCUUUCGGUUGUGUACAUGUUGUGGACCAAAACCUUCCUUUCGGUUGCUUACAUGUUGAGGACCGAAACCUUCCUUUCGGUUGCUAUUGCCAUGAGGACCGAAGUUUCCAUUUUGGUUGCUUACAUUCUGAUGCCCGAAACUCUCCUUUCUGUUGGCUCUUGGUUCUCCUCGUUACUUAUUUGUCUUUUCAUACCUAAUGUAAUGAGGAUUCGGGGAUCGCCAAAACUGUUUUCUUUCAGAGAGAUUCUUCUUGUAUCUUAGUUUACGUUGGUGUUUUCGUUCUUCCACCUGUUUUGGACUUUUAUGAAUAUUGUCCUUUUUCUUUAGUACUUGAUCAUGGCUUUCGCUCUUUGACGAACAUGUCUCACUGGAUGCUAUCACUAGUUCGCCUGAAGAUGUUUUGGUGCCGCUUGGUGCCUACUCUUCACUCUCCAUGAGGUUUUCUAAGAUAGACCUUCUGUUUCAUCAGCGUUAUCUAUCGGUGCUGACCAGAAAAACUCCUCACAUCCAUUAGCAUUAUGUUCUUCUACCAAUGUUGUCAGUUCUGCAGGUUGUUGAGGUGUGACUCCUUGAACUGAGUAAACUUGAUUUGGAGUUGUUUGAACCUUUUGAUAUUCAACAACUUUUGCCUUGAGGACUUUGGUCUUGUCUAUCGAUGAGCGAGGAAACUCAAUAGAGUUUUCAAAAAUAAGAUUUUUACUUGUAUCGGGUUCGCUCUUGACAAAAUCAGAACAAUCCACCACAUCCUCUACAGAGAUUUCAAUCAUGUCAUCAUCCUCAUUAAGUUCAGAUGCAUUUUCAACUUUAAUUUUACUUUAUGAACUAAAUUUCGCAUUCAACGAGUCAAACUUCAGUAAAGUUUUGGUUCUCAGUUUCAAUUUAUCAUUUUCAUCUAACGGAUUUUUGAGCAUGUCCUUAUGGUCUUCUGACUUUAUGUAGGACUCUAUUUUGUCAAGACCAAUUUUGUAGGCAAGAGAUAUUUCAUCGGAAGAUACAACAUUUUCAUAGUUGUAAGCUUCGACAUUGACUUCAUCCUCCUUCAACUCAAGGAAGGGUAAAAUCAUGUGAUGCAUCUUCUUUAUGUUGUAUUAGUGUCUAAGUCCAUAACCAUUUUGGUAUGUACUUGACCCGAUGGUGCAUGGUCCUUUUGGGUUGCCUUCACCAAAGCAACAUGAUAGGAUGAAUUAUGGAGAGAAAGGAUUAAUUAUGAUUUAUUAAUAUAUUAUGAGAAUAAUAUAUUAAAGGAAAAACCAUAUUGUUUAAUUAAUAUUAGUCAAGAAUUAACAAGAAUUAAGUUUAUGGCUAAAAGACAUGAAUUAAACUUAUGGGACUAGAACUUUCAAUUGUGUGAUAGUUGAAUAUUGGGCUGAUGUACUCCAUAUUAGAGGGGUGGACGAAUUCUAUGGGGAAACCCAUUAGAAAUCGUCCUAGGCCUCUAAGGAGGGAGUCCAUGGGUUGCUUAGGGUCUAAGCAUCCAAAUUAGGGUUUCCUUGUUAGAUAACCCUAAUAGCCUCACUAUAAAAAGGACCCUUGAGACUCAAAAAGGUGGUGGACUUGUUCCUUAGGGUUUCCACACAUUUUGGGCAGCCUCCUCUCUCCUUAUCCUUCAUCCUCUUGGUCUUGGUGUUUGUGAACCAUUAGAGGAGUGACACUUGUGACUCUAAGCUUUCUAAAUUCAUUACAAGGAGGAUUUGAGAUUGUUAUUGCUACAUAACAAUCAAGGUAAGAUCUAAGACCCCAUUCAUAAGUUAAUAUGAUUAAUUAUAUGAUAGAUCUAGGGUUUAAUGUCUUGGAUGAAUUGCAUGUAUAAUAGAGAAACCUAGAUCCAAGCAUUAGGGUUUGCAUGAGCACAUAGGAUGUUGUAAUGGCCAAAACCCAUCAGUGGUAUCAGAGCCUUGAUUGGUUUCUAUUUUAUUGAUGCCUAGCAUAUUCAAUCUUGUUGCAAAAUCGAUUUUUUGGCUCCCUGACUGCUGAAUUCGGCGAGUUCCAAUAUGGAGUCGGCGAGUUGGCUCCAACUCGGCGAGUCCAUAGAGGAACUCGACGUGUUCGAGCGUCAAAAGGAGGCAGUUUCGGGAUUUCUUGCUGUUUUACUCAUGGAUACUUGCCUUAACUGUUUUGGGUCAUUAAAAUCUGAUUUUAAACAUAUUUUUGAGUAUAUCCUUGAUUAAACAAAAGAUAAUUACCAAUUGAUUAGAUAAUAACUUCCUUAUACGAUUAAAUUUUGAUUAUUUGUAUUAAUUGGGGAACUUAUCUGGCAAGAAAUUGAUUUUAGGUCAAAUUUAGAUAAUCAUUAACUUAAUAGUUUAAUUUAAAUUAUUUGCUAUUUGAUCCUUUGUGUUUUGAAAAGUUUCAAACUUGCCCUCAAGUCUUGGAAUUUAAAUUUUUGAUUAAAAAGUUUGAUACUGAAAUAUUUAAAUUCUAAACCCUAAUGUUUUGAAGUGUUUCAAAACUUGGCCUCAAGUUUUGGAAUUUAAAAGUUGAUUAAAAGUUUAAUUUAGAAAAGUUAAAUUCUAAAAAUCCUAGUAUUGUUUUGAAAAGUUCAUAUCACACCCUUAUGGUUUUAUUAAUUAAUUAAAGUGUAUAAUUAUUAAAUUUGACCACCUAAUAUUUUAAAAGUGUAAAAUACACCCUAUACUAUAUAUAACAUUAAGAGUCUAAUAUUAUAUAUAUGUAUGAGUAAAAGUCAGUCUUACGGUUAGUAGGCCUCAUUCACGAAGCUGGUCUAUAAGGGGUGUUUAAGGAAAUUGCCUAUAAAAUGGCGAUUGAAUGGGUAUCCACUCUUACCCACCGCACUCUUGACUAGUGGAGGGUCGUUAGCCGAACGGGUAGGAUAGGACGAAACCUUCCAUUAUAAGUAUAAUGAAUUAUUAAAGUAACUAAAUGUUUUCAUAAAAUUCCCAAUCUUAGUUACUUAGGCAAAAGUGAAUUGAUGCAAUUCCAUGAAAUUACACUUUGUGCCCUUGCGAAGACGUUAGUGGAGCGUGUGUGGUUAACCGGCACACUAAAUGGUUCUAAGCAAAGGUAGCAAAGGGUGACUCAAUGUUUGUCAUAGUUCGGUGGAGCGUGUGUGGUUAACCGGCGCAUCGAAUAGGUGACUGUAACAUGUGGGGGCACCAUGUAAGUUUGCAUGGUUAUUCACACCUGCUUUGUGAUCCUCGGUAUCCCAGUCACAAACUAGAGCGGCAUGUUGAGAUUUAAACAUGCCAUUGAAAAGUUCAAUGUAUCUCAAAAGAUCUACGAAUUUUCAACAGAUUUAAAACUUAAAUUUAUUUUUCGUUUUUCAUGGUGGAAAUUAGUGAAUCGUCAUUCACUUACCUUCAAAUAUUCUGCAACUAGAUUACGGCAACCCUUUUCUAGGUUGUAGCGUAUUGUGUUGGGUCCUAGCCUUGGAAUUUCAUUUGGGUGAUCUACCAAGGACUCAAUCUAUCAACUAACUUGAAUUCNNNNNNNUUUUGUAGAUGUCAAAGUAUGACAACUAUGGUCUUCCCAAAUCCCGUGGAACAAGCUUUUCACAUGAAGAUGAUAUUCCACGAUUCGAUCGAGGAACACGAGAUCAUGCUUCACUUCCUCCACCUCCUCCUAUUAUUCUCCCUAACCCACGAGUUCAUAAGAUUGAAAAAUUCAAACUCACUCAAGCCCUUUUGGCCAGAAAACAUGUAGAAGGAAAGUCAGUAUGUGCACACGUCCUAGAGAUGAAGUCACACAUUUUUAGGUUAAGAAUGUUGGGAUCUGUUGUCUGUGAGGAGCUGGCUAUUGAUUGGGUUCUUCAGUCACUUCCUUACUCAUAUAGUGAGUUCGUAAGAGAGUACUACAUGAUAAGCCACGAUGUAACCCUCAUUAAUCUCACCUAUAUGCUUACUGCUGCUGAAUCGACAAUGAUUUGGCGCACUGGGAAAGCAAAGUUGAUUGGUGGAUCUGCCUUCCAGACCUCUAUGGAUAUAGGCAAUGGCAACGAAAGGCAUUUCAUAAUCGAAAAGUUUGAUCAUAAGAGAAAGGCAAAGUCAGAAGUAGUUCCGUGUGCUGUUCCAAAAGAGUCAAUUUGCUUUUAUUGCCAAGAGAAGGGGCAUUGGAGACGAAGCUGCCCUAUUUACCUAAGAGAUCUAAGAGAUGGGAGAGUCAAAACGUAUGGCUCUGCUUUAGGUAAAAUCCAUUAACUAACUCUUUUAAGCUCCUAUUCUAGAUUCUUAAUACAUGAUGUGAUAAGAUUACAUUUCGAUGUUUUGUAGGAUCGAAGAAAAGAGAGGAAGCUUAAGGGAAGAAGUGAGCGAAAUCUAAUCGUGAAGAAAUGGAUUUCGAUCGCAUUACUUGAAGAUUAGAUUCUUGAGCUACUACUUGGAGUUAGAAUAAGAUUACUAAGAAAUAUGUAUUAGCAUAGUUUUUGAAUGAAUUGCAUUUUAAGGACAAAUUCUUCCGCAAUAAAUUAAAAUUUGAUUUUAUAUUAUUUAUUUAUCCUUGCAAUGGCNAUAAAAUAAAUUUUGAUUUUAUACUAUUUAUUUAUUCUUGCAAUGGCGUGUAUGAAAAAAAUGAUGUUUGAAUGCAAUAAUGGAUUUGAUUCUUAAUUAUGUUAUUUGUGGAAAUUUUGAGAAUUUACCAAACAGGGAGAGUUUCUCAUCGCCCAAGUUUCAAUUGGAUAGAAACUUGGAAUCAUGCAACUUGAUUGCAUGAUGAAUGACAAAUUUCAUGUUUGGAAAUUAGACUAAUUCAUUGACAAAGUGUCAAGUGAAGGGAUAGGAGAUUGAAUACACAAAGUUGUGUGUUGAUCAAGUCCACCACAAGGGUAACAAAGAUAUUCAUCAUGAUUUACUAAAGGUUUAGUGAAUAUGGUUAUACUUAUAAGAUUGAGUAUAAUUCUGAAUUGAUUGAAAGAGUUUCAAUCACUACCAGAACGAAUAAGAAGAAUCAAGUAGGCAUAAAGAUAAAAGUUUCUCUAUUCUAAGAAGAAGGGAGAGUACCUUUUAUUAUGUUUUAUGAUAAGUCAUUAUGAUUAAGAACCAUAUCUCAAUUGAUCCUCUAAGUGAGUCUUAGUACAAUUGUAUGUCUAUGAAAAGGAAUCAAGAAUUGAAGAAAUGGUUAAAUCAAGAAGUCAAUCAUACUUCGUUCCAAAACAAGUCUUAGAGUUAAGAUUGUGACAUUGAGUGACAAGUCUUAAGAAGGUUUAUAACAUUUAUCAAACGUAGAAUUUGGAAAAAAGGUUUUCUUAUUCUUGCAGAUUUGAAAUUGGUAAGUUGUGAUGUCUUGGAUUAGACAAAACCAACGAGGACCAAUUUGUGAAUUGUUUCGUCAUGAUAAAAGCUACACUAACUCUUGAAUAUUUGUUUGUCAAGAAAUGUUUAUUGACAAGAGAAUCUUAUAUGUCAAGGAGUCAGUGGGAGUCUUAAUGGUCUUGAAAAUUUUCGAGAACUACUCAAGAAUAAACCCUAUCGAUCAUCACUAGCACACGACUUGAGGUUUACAACCUAUCGUUUUGACACUAUCUUGUUUCUAUUUCGUUCCGAUUGAGUUAGUUAUGCAUGCAAGUUCUAUGAGUUCUCAUUUGAACGCAUAAAAGGCAAGCACCUUGAUCAAUGAAAAGUACAUUGAUAAGAAUGGGUGAGGUGCUUAACUACUUGGAAGACAUGGUGGGCAGCCGUGUUACCAUAAGGCAAGAAAUCAAGAUUGAGAAGGUGAGGUCCAUAUGAGUUUGAAUUUGUCGUAAACUUUGGUUUUGACAAAUUCACAAGGGUAGGAACACAUACACCAUUAAAAUCUGAGUGUCAUAAGAUUUCCACCUUCAUGAAAAUGACUGUGAGGAAAUGCUUUCACUAAGAGAGAUUUUAAGAAGAUAGUGAUUGUGAAAAUUGGAUUCUCAAAUUUGAUUAUGGUUAUGGUAUCCCCUUCCAUGAUUCGAAUUGUGAGAUUUGGCAAUUAGUCUGAAUUGUUUAGACACACAUCUAAACUAUCUAAGGCAAAGGUGUAUAAGUUUGAGAAGCUUAGAUAAAGGAUUAUCAAAGCAUUAGAAAUAUGAACUUAAGAAAUUCAAUAGGAAUUGUUUUCUGGAAGUGAAGCUGUUUCUGAAUACAUGUCAAAGCUAGUGGGAGCAUAAGAGUUAUGCUUAUAUGACAAUAAUCAUCAUGAUAGUGGGAGCAUAAAUGUUGUGCUUGUAUGAUUAUUAAGGUAAAUAUUGCAAGUUAGCAAUAUUAAUUAUAGAAAACAAGAGUUAUACCUUGCAAAGUCGUAAGCAUUGAAAAGUUGUUUUGCUAUAAUUAAGGGAGAGAAUAUUAUGCUUCAUUUCAAAUCUAAAGGCUUAGGUUGUGGAAUGUUAAUAAAUUUAUUCAAGGAUACAUAGUGCGUUCUUAAAUUUCGAUUAUGAUCAUGGCAUCCCUCUUCAUAGUUCGAAUUGUGAGAACGUGACACAUUAAAUAUUAUGGCAGAAGAUUGAUAAAGUAUCGUAUCUUUAUGUAAGACAUUAUACAUCGUGUCCCAUACGCUUCGGGUAUAGGAUUGAUUGCAAAUGCUAUAAUAUUUAACCAUUCUAAAAUUUUCCAAAUGUCUAGCGCAGUUAGAGGGAAAAAGGACAAGAAUCGGUUUUGACUAAGAUAAUUAAACAACUAUCAAAGGACGAUCCAAAGCUCGCUGAGGAUUGGUCGCUCGUGAGUAGUUGGAAGUAUGAUAUUGGAUGGACCAUAUCGACAUUAUUAUGAAUAGAUAAGAUUCUAUUAAGAAUGAGUUGUCAUAUGGCAAAUAUGGAAAUGUUUCCAUAUUGGGAGUUGGAUAUUGAGAGUCUAUGUCUAGAUUAGAAAAUUUUAUGCAAAAGGAUGUUCAAAGGAAUGUACUUUGAGUGAGAGACAUCAUGUUUGUGGAAUUGUAUUGUAACAAUCUCAAAUAGAGAACUUUGUAAUUUCAUUGACAAUAGUCAUUGUGAUUUUUGUGCUAUGACAAUACGAAAGGAUCAUUGCAUGAAAUGUUAGAAUCUAGCAUAUUCUAUAAGUAGCAAGAAUUUGAUAUUCUUAAAGUUAUGUUAGCGAUUGGGAGUUGUGAAAUGAGUGUGAUUGGAAAUGUGUUCAUUUGACCUAUUUCACAAAGUAAGGACCGUACGUAAACAUUGUGUGCAUGCUGAGAGCAUGGGACAAGUAUAGUUAUAAUUCAAGUUAGAAGUUGAUUACCCGAAACAACAAAUAAUGAGUAAUCGAUAUGGUGAUAAAUAAAAGGUGUUUUAUUUAUACUCAAAGGUUUGAGGCCAUAUGUGAUUAGUAUUAUUCUUGUGUUUCACUUUGCAUGUUUUGACUUCCUGAAUAAUUUAAUUGAUUCAGAACAGUCAAAUUAUUCGAACGGGCCAUAGUCGUUCAUAUGUUGGAAGUAGGUAUGAAUGAAGACUGUCGUGAAUUGGUGUGUGGAUUGUCUAAAGUGUAUUAGACAUAAGCAAAUGUUUGCUUCAAUGUUCAUGAGUGCUUAUGAAUAUGAUUUGAGCAUUGGAUUAAACCCACACUCACUUGGAUCACUUCAUGGAUUUUAUCACGAGUGAUUGGUGAGACGAUAACAUCUUAUAUUCUUGAAACCGAGAUGUGCGAGUUGUAUCUUGCGAGUCGGUUGCACAUUGAUAAUAAGUAAACACAACAAUAACUGGGUGUUAUAAAACACAUUGUUGUGUGUGAUUUGGUAAGUGAGUGCAAGCAAGCCUUCAAUCAAAGUUUAUAUGUUCCUUUUAUCCAAAGUAUGAUAAAAGCGAUAUCUUUGGGCCCCUCGAUGAUUUAGUGAUGGCAUCUAAGCGCUUGGCAACGGAUUUGGAAAGGUACAAUUGCAGAUCAGGAUCUGAAGUCAUAUGUAGAAUAGUUAUCAGACUUAUCUAAGUGCGAGACUGUUGGAUUUGUGUCUCAGUCCAUAACCAUUUUGGUAUGUACUUGACCCGAUGGUGCAUGGUCCUUUUGGGUUGCCUUCACCAAAGCAAAUUGAUAGGAUGAAUUAUGGAGAGAAAGGAUUAAUUAUGAUUUAUUAAUAUAUUAUGAGAAUAAUAUAUUAAAGGAGAAAUCAUAUUGUUUAAUUAAUAUUCGUCAAGAAUUAAUAAUAAUAAAGUUUGUGGCUAAAAGACAUUAAUUAAACUUAAGGGACUAGAACUGUCAAUUGUGUGAUAGUUGAUUAAUUGGCUAUUGGACUCCAUAUUAGAGGGGUGGACGAAUUCUAUAGGGAAACCCAUUAGAAAUCGUCCUAGGCCUCUAAGGAGGGAGUCCAUGGGUUGCUUAGGGCCUAAGCAUCCAAAUUAGGGUAUCCUUGUUAGAUAACCCUAAUAGCCUCACUAUAAAAAGGACCCUUGAGACUAAAAAAGGUGGUGGACUUCUUCCUUAGGGUUUCCACACAUUUUGGGCAGCCUCCUCUCUCCUUAUUCUUCAUCCUCUUGGUCUUGGUGUUUGUGAACCAUUAGAGGAGUGACAUUUGUGACUCUAAGCUUUCUAAAGUCAUUACAAAGAGGAUUUGAGAUUGUUAUUACUACAUCAAAAUCAAGGUAAGAUCUAAGACCCCAUUCAUAAGAUAAUAUGAUUAAUUGUAUGCUAGAUCUAGGGUUUAAAGUCUUGGAUGAAUUGCAUGUACAAUAGAGAAACCUAGAUCCAAGCAUUAGGGUUUGCAUGAGCACAUAGGAUGUUCUAAUGUCCAAAACCCAUCACUUUCCUAUUUCACAAUCGAGAUGUAACUAAGUGAUAUUAAAAUAUAGUCUUUUCGAAAUCAAACAAAAAACAUUUUGUUGUUUUAAAAGCUUAAGAUUGUCUUGUUGCAAAUAGAUUGACUCAUCCCUAGACCUAAUUAAUUCGUUCUCCUUCUGCUCAAUCCAGAUUCUCAUCUCCUCACUCUUCGACGAUAUCCUUCUAAUUUGAGCAGUUAGGUUAGAGUUUGUGACACGAGUUUGGGUAACACUACUACUUAAACUGGUAAAUUUAGAUUUUAAGCCAUUCAGUUCCUUUCCAUAGUCAGUAAUAGGAAUUUUCAGAGAAGUUAGAAUAUUUUGUACCUUCUUGAUCAACUCAUCACACUCGUUGAUCUGUGCACUGAUAGGUUUCGCAGCGAAACAUCUGUCCUCUCGCUCCUUCUCGUCAUCCAUCCCACCAUCUGUUGUGUAUCAUCGCAUCUGUGAUACACCUUCCAUCACCAGCAAACAUCUUCCCUCAAACCUUUUCUUCUUUCACCAGCAGAGCCUUGCCAUGAGUGGGCUUUCUUACUUCUUCGUCCUCUGAAUCUGUGGAACACACCUAUACUCCACCAAAUUCAUCAUUAUCACAUGUAUCCUGUACAAUCAAACUAUUCAUGUUCUUAUUUUUAGCUGUUGAUUUCUUUUUCUUGAUCUCCUCCAAUCGUCUCAGGAGGUUCUCUUCCUCAUUGUUUUCAUCAACUCUUUCAGACUUCUUCUUCAGCAUACAGUCUUUGGCAAAGUGGUUCUUGCCUCCACAAUAAUGAUAGUCAAAACCAGAAUCACCACCAAUCUUUGUUUCCUUCUUAGAUUCUACAGACUCUGAACCUAUCUUUGGUUCCUCCUUCACUUUUUCAGAACAAUAACUUCCCUGCCAGUUUCGGUUCUUGUUGGCGGGUAACUUCCUUUUGAUAAACUUUCUUGGAUUGGAAACUAUCAGGGCAUACUUUUCACCAAUUAGAUCAUAGUCAGCAAGAUCUAGUUCUUCUUCUUCUUCUUCUUCAACAACACUCUUUCCUUUGGAGAUAAGAGCUAAUGAACCUAUGCUGGAAACCACAUUUAUUUCCUUUGAAACCGCACUUUCAUGGGACUUCAGAAUUCCCACCAGCUUCACCAGAGAGUAGGAUUUGAAUUGUUCAUGUGCCUUCACUGUGGACACAACUGCCAUCCAUUCGGGUCUAAGACCGUUCAUGAAGGUAACCUUCUACUCAAUAACCUUCCUUUCGAUCCCAUGCUUUAUCAUCUGACUGAGGAGAUGAUUAAACCGAUCAAAGGCCUGAAUGAGUUUCUCUUCGGGCUUCUGUUUGAAAUCACCAAAUUCAAAAAGCAGCAAGGUUUGAAUCGAAUGUUCCAGAUCGUCAUUAGUAGAAUACAAUUCCUUUAACAUAUCCCAUAUCUCUUUUGUUGUAUCACAUGAACUCACCAAUCAAAACGCGUUCGAUUGUAAAGCAAACCUAAUCUUUCUUAAGGCUUUAAUGUUGCACUGAAACUUCUCUUUCUCGUCUUGAGGAAUGUCUUUCACAUCAUUCACGCGCUGAUUGUACUCCUUUUGAGUUUUGACAAUCUUUCAAGUGCUUGAGUGAGCAAACGGACCAACUGUGAUUGCUUCCCAGAUCAAGUACCCAUUAUCCUCUGUAUUGAUUACAUAAUCUUUGAAGUCGUGCAUCCAGACUUCAUAAUCCUAAGUAUAUAGGAUUGGAAUCCUUGUUGUUGAUCCAAUACUGUAGGAGAUGUUGAUUGGAUUGGAUUGCGAAUUAUCCAUAGACAUUGUGAUGAUGUUUGAUCGAUAAUCUAUUUAAGAUCAGACUUGUAAUUUAUCGUUAGGGCAAGAUCAACAAUUAAUGAGAUACACCAAUUAGGAAUGACGGCUCAAUUAAUAUCAUUCAAUGCGGAAAACCCUAAUAACUUCUUCAACAGAAGAGAUGUGUAUGAAUUACACAGCAUCCUGCUCUGAUACCAAUUGAUGAGAUAAAAUCUCUUGGUUGGUAAGAUCUUUCAUAGGUAUAUUAAUGAAGAACAAACUAUUAAAUCAAACAAGGCAAAGAACACAAUAUAGAAUCAAUAUAAAGCUUAUGAUUCAAACGUAGUGACGCCUCAGCAAAGCUUGAUAAAGAACUUCCACUGUAGAGGUGAGCUAGGGUUUACAAUACUAUGAUGAGAAUAAUAAAAGCAUUAAAAACAAAGGAUGCAUGCAUGCACCUUAAACACUAGAACGCUAGAAUAGAAUAAUGCAUGGUUGGACAGGCCCAAACCGGUUAAAAAACUAGGCUAAAAGAAACGAGAAAAAGACGCAACAAUAUGAUCCCAACAAUUUGAAAACUUGAGUCACAUGCGAUUCUAAUCCUUUUCACACAAUGCUAAAAAAUUUUGAAAAGUUAGAAUAACUUAAUAUUAUAGCAUAUUUAAUCGAAUAUUAUAACAUAUGUAAUCGAUCCUAUAUGCAAAGUUUAUGGGAGUCGAUUCUUUAUUUCUUACAUAAAUACUUCAUAUUUGUUCAAUUCCUUGCUAUAAUAUUUAUAUAUAUAUAUAUAUAUAUAUAUAUAUAUCAACUCUAAUAUGUUGGAGAAUUUCAACAUGAUAUUCAUAUGUGUUUUUGACCAAGUUCUAAACCUUUAGACUCAAAACGAAGUAUUAGUUCACUCUCCAUUAAGUCCAUUAUAGCAAAACAAUUUCUAAACUUUACAAUUUUCUAAAACAGAAGCAUUAUUCCCUACGAACAAUACUAUCAACAUGUAAUUCCAGCAUAACAGUCAUGCCCCCACUAGCUUAGAUACGUAUAUUGAAAUCAUCCAGACUUCUAGAAAUCAAUACCUUUUGACUUUCUCAAGGAAGGGCUGAUUUAUGUUAUGCAAUGCUUCGAUAAAUCUCCAAUUAGACUUCUUAAGCUUAUACACCUUAGUUGGAUAAUAUGUGUGUGUGUGUGUAUUUAAUCCCUUAAAUACUAUUAGAUAUAUCUCUUGAAAGUUCAAAGAAUUCCUUCCCAUUCCUCAUAAUUUGAAUUAUAAAGAGGGAUGCCAUAAUCAUAUUAUGAAUCUGAGAAUUCAAUUAACAAAACCAAUAUCCAAAUUGAUCUUUCUCAGAACUUUAAAUCUAUCAGCAAAAGUAUUUCCUCAUAAACUUAUUCAUGAAUUAGAACGAAACCUUUUCCACUUAGACUUUAAGGUGUAUAUGUUCCUAUCCAUGUGAAACUAUCAUUUCCAACCUAUAAUCAUAAUAUAUGGUUUAGGAAAAACCAAAUUCAAAUUCAAUUAUCCUUCAUGGACUGAACUUUUCUAUUUUUUAAUUUCUUGCCUUAUGGUAGCUCAAGGGCCUACCAAUGCUUGCUUGUUGUUAGUAGCUCACCCAUAUUGAUCAGUAUACAUUAAUUGGACAACAUGUUACGAUUUUGCAGUUAAAAGAAGAACAUAGAACUCAUAAGCAUUUCCAACUCAAAUGGAACUGCACACAAAUAAGAAUAUUUCAAAUAAACACAACAUGUUAUCAACCUUAGGUCGGGUGCUAGUGAUAACUAAAAGGAUCACUAUCGGUUGACUCUUUUAAGAUCUCGAUCAACACGACUCCCAAUGACUUCUUAACAUAAAAGUUUUGUAUUUCAAGGAACAUUCCUUCACGAACUAUAACAAAUAUGCAAAAGUUUGUUUGGAUUCUCGACAAGAAAACAAUUGAUAAAAUAAGACUCAGUUUAUCUUUUGUUACUCGAUCAAAAAAAUUAGAGCUCUAAUUCUAAAUGUGCUAGAGUAAGAAAACGUUAUUACUCCACAUGUUACAAGGUGUUAUCAACCUUCUUAGUUUGAAAUGAGUUUCUAAAUAUGAUUCAUAGUUACUUCAGCAUGGCCUUAAAACAAGAUUACACAAAGUAUCACUCAUAUAUGAUCGAACCAUCUCCAACAACAUUCGAUUCGUCUUCUUAGUUAUAAAAUUGCACUACGAUGUUCUUUGAGGACUAAAAUUGUGAUAUAAUUCCAUAAUUACUAGAAUUAUCUUAAAACAUGACACUAAAGUACUCCCCUUUAUUUUUUAUACCGGAGGAUCAUUUUUCUUUUUUCCUAAUAGAUUCUUUCAUUCGUUCUGCUACUCAUGAAGUUUUCAAAAGCAUCAGAAUUAUGCUUAAAUUGGUAAAUGUAAUCAUAUAUAUUGAAGCAUCAGUAAAUCAUAUAAAAUACAGUUAUCAUCCUUUGUGAUGGAUUUGGAAAGUCUAUAUCAACAUGUACUAGAUCCAUUAGUCCUUCACUCGCCUCACGUAAAUACGUGAACAAUGAAUUAGUCAUAAUUUUCCACUAAACAAGAUUCUCAUGCAUCAUGCUAUUCGAAUUGUAUGAAUCUAAGUUGUUGUCCAAUUGAAACCUAGUGAUUAGAUUUGUUUUCAUUUGGUCAAUUAUGAUAGUACCACAAGCACACUCUAAAAGAAUCCAUAUCAACUAUUAAUAUUGCAAUUAUUAGAAACAUAACCAACACUUCACAAAUGUCAUUGCAAGGAAAUAUAAAUAAGACAAUUUCAUAAAGCAAAAAUUCAUUUUAUUGCUAAAAAGAAAAUUACAACUUGUCCCUACAAUGCAUAAAAUGAAAACUAUAUUUCUAGAAAUCUCUGAAGAGUAAUAGAAAUCCAUUAAAUUUAUCCUAGUUCCUUAGUAGUAGCUCCAAAUAGUGACCAACAAACCAUGCAACAAAAGUACAUUUUACAUGAUCAUAUUUAGCUAAAUUUGCUUAAGCUUCCUUCAAUCUUUUAGAUCCUUCAAUACCAUCACAUUAUGUAUUAAGAGUCUACGAAUAGGAACUGAAGGAGUUAGAUAAUGAAUGUACCUAAAAUAGAGUCACACAAAUUGACUUUACCAUCACAUUUCUAAUGUCCAUUCAGUUGGGAGUAUUAACAAAUGGAGUCAUUGGGGUGAACAUGUGGAAUGAUUUCCAAACGAGCCUUUCUCUUUACCAUAUGAUCAAAAGGUUUGAAGUUGACUGGUACCUUUUGAUUGGGAAGAGAAAUCUUUUCUAGAUCAUCGAUGUUACAAUUAUCAAUGUCUAUGGAUUUCUUGGAAAUAGAUCCUACGAGCAUUUAUGUUUCAAUUGUGUUGUUAAGAAUUUUUUCUAUAGAACCUAUCAAUGUUCGAGUCAGAUCAGUUAAGUUCACAUCAAUAUUCCUCAUAUGAAAGUUCUCAACAAAUUGAACAUGUGACUUUAGAAGCGAAAGAAGAACCAAAUCAUUGGCUUGCUCCAUCGGAAAUAUGACACCCAACCUUUCCGACUUGUGAAUGUACAAUUUCAUUUUCAGAACAUGCGCACACACAAAAUUUCCAUUUUCAUGUUUACAUGCCAAUAGGGAUUGAGUAGUUUCAUAUCUUUCAACUCGAGGAAAACAUGAAGCUGGGAGAGUCACAUGAGGAUGAGGUGGAAGAGUUGAAGAAAUAUGAUGUAUAGUUCUACAAUUUCCUAAUGAAGGAAAAACAACUUUACAUUGGCUUGAAAGUGGAAGACCAUCUCCAGAAUAUUGAGGAAAACCAUUUCCAUAAGAACAAGGAAGACCAUUUAUAUUUUCAUAAUAAAUCUAAUAUUUGGGAGAAAAAAGAAUUCAAGUUAGUUGAUUAUAAUCCUUAAUCAUUGUUUUGGUAAAAAACUGAUAAAUGGAUAUCAACCAAAUUGCAUGAGAGGCUGUGGGUUUGUAAGUGAAGUGAUUAAUGAAAUUAGCUCAAGAUUGCAUAAGUGAUUUACAAGGAAAGCCCUUGAUCAUUGAAAGGAUCUUCGACAUAAAACAUUGGGAGGUGAUAAUGGUCAUCUGCUUUAGUUGAUUUUAUUGAUUUGAACAUAUAAUUAUAGAUAUGAUAAUAAGAAUAUGAGUACAAAUUUUUAUGUACCUCUAAGUGUGUAAGGUGUACAAAGAUUACACCUGUUAUGUGUCAUUUACAAGUGUAUUUAUAGUCUAGGUUAAGUAACUAUAAGUCUGACAUUUCUGGGAUCCUACUGAGCUGGUAUUUACACGUGCUUUUACUUGGUAUUUCCAGGUAUUAUGCCUGAUUGGAACGUUUCUUCAUUCAGAAUGAGUCUCAUGUUGACCAUUUCUACAUACGUGAGAAAUAACACAAGAAAUAUUUCUGUGAAUCUUGUUAGAAGAUAAUAAUCCCGGUGUUCAGGAUCCUCAUGUAUGUUCGGGAUCCUAAGACUCCUUUAAGAUCCGAGAUCCUGGAUAGGAUUGAGGAUCAUGGCCCUAACAACUGCCCCCGAAUUAUACCUGCAAAACAUUUGAAUUAAUUUUAAGUAUUUAAAGUGUAUAAUUUAAUUAACUGGAAAUAAAGGAUCUGAAAUUCAAAAUCUAACAGAUAGAAUUGUAUUCGUUCAAAAGAUGUGAUUAUAUUGUCAAAUCUCUUCUCUAUCCUCUGUGAUCCACAUAAAUAGGGGUUAAUGAUUACCAAUCUUCAGUUACUUAUUUUAGCGCACUUUCAAGAGUGAUCGGUUAUCUUAAUGGUAAAUUCCAUGUUCCUUUCUACUCAUUUUUCUUGUUUGAUGAUCAUAGGUAAAAAAGGCACUCCCUUCUUGCUCGAGCAUCCUUACUCUUUCUAAUGAGGAUUUCCUCGAUGAAAAGAUCUUGUCGUAUGAGGGAACUUACUCUUUUUAUGAUAACGAAACUAAGUCCUUGAAUUCAAGCGGAGCUUCUCUUGCCAACGUCAUUUUCAAGCCUUUUGAUACUAAAGUCAAACCUGGCUUCAUCUUUCCUACUUGGGUUUGCUUCAAUCCAAACUAUACCUAUGAUCUGGAGGAUCUAGUUAUAGGUUGAUCAAUUGAAUCAAUCAAAGGAGCUACACAUGGGAUUAGUUGAGUUGGCUCAUUUUUAUGAUCUCCAAACUUUUGGGUCUUCUCGUUUCCUACUCAAAAUCAAAACAAACAAAUCACAUCUUAUUUUGAAAUUGAAACAACACAAUGAUUCUUAGAAAGAAAAAAUAUUUCUUUCUAAAAUGUGAAUCCAUCCUUGAAGGUGAUCUCCUUCCAAGAAAUUAGGUUAGAAAGGAUAUGACUUUAUUCUAUUUCGUUGAGGAUAUGAAACUCACACUUCCCUAUUUUAUUCGUUUUGAUGCAACUUUCAAUUUCGAGGACCCCUUCUUGAUGCUAAAGAUAUCAAGGAGAAGAUUGGCAGUUUCCUUGCUUUGCCCGAGACUGAUUGAUCCUUCAUGUUCAAACAACUUAGCUUUCAAGAGAGUACCUCAGCUACUGCCCCCAUAUCGAUAUGUAAAUAUUGUUUGUCUAUAUAUCUUUUAUUUUUCAUGUAGGAUAUUGAACUUAUUGAGUUCCUUUGUUAUGUUUAGGAUCCAAGGCUACACACUCUAGUAUUUGGGUCACCCUUGUUGACACUGAAUCAGCCAUGUUCGGUGGCCAACUUGUUGUCAAAAUGGAGAAGAUCUCAUAUUCUCUUCCUCCAAAGAGAACCUCGAUUGAUCUGACCGUCAAGACUCCAAGACCCCGAAAGAGGAAGUCGGCUGAGACCUUGGAUUUGGAGAGUCGUGGGUUGGACAAGGCACUGAGGAAGCUGAUCUCUUUCUCGCAAGCUGUAAGGAUCUUGGUGCUUUUUUUCUGUUUGAUUUCAAUUCAAUUAUUGUGUUACUUUAUAGGUUGUUGAUCAUUUUUCUUGAUCCACCAAAGAUCUGAAGGUGAAUCUUGACCAGGUGGAGCAUGCCUUGAAAGAGCAAGAUGGGAUCAACAAUGAGCUUCUAGAGAGGAUGGAGGAACUGAGUAAGGAGAAAGUUAAGAAGAGGAGGAGCAUCCGCUAGAGAUCAAGGAAUGUUGUUGGUUCCAUAUGCGAGGAAAAGAUCAAGGUGGAAGAGGAUAUGGAGAAUGCAGGAUCUUGGAACGUGGCCGGUUGGCAUGAAACCUAGGCUAACUUGAUUGGAAAGGUUGUAAAUGAUGGUCAAUAUCCUAUAGUGAAGAAGAGAAGAAAUAGAUAAACUAUGUCCCAGUUGGGGGUAAUCAAACUUCAAAUUAAGUUUGAUAAAAAUUAAAAAAAAUUUAAUUUUUGUUUUGAUAAAGAAUAAUUUUUUUUAUGGGUAGGAGGGUAACCCUUUUUAAUAUUGAUUCUUUGGUUUAUCUCUUUUCUUGUGUGGUUGAUUUUUUGUAUCAAUAGGGUUAAAACAAGUUUCUAAAAGGGUUCUUAAAUAAUUAGGAUCCUAAUGAGUUUAGAAUUUACAAAUACUUUUUAGGAUCCAAAAGAUCUAAAAUAUAAAGUUACUUGAUCAAUAUCAUGAAAUAAUCAUCNNNNNNNNNNNNNNNNNNNNNNAUAUAAAUAUAUAUAUAUAUUGUUUUAGGAACAACUUGGGGUGUACUAAACAUAUAAGAAAAGGAUAGAUGGAACCUAGAGAGAGCUUCUUUCUUAGAUUUCCAUUAGACUUUUAAUUGUCUCUUUUAACUUAUAUUUAGGAUUCCGAUCUUAUCAUCUUGAAGAGAUUUAUUUUGAGUAUGCUAUUGGGAGAUUGAUCCAAACUUUACAAUUCACUGGGAAAAGUCCCAACUCAGGUAAUAUUGGGAAAGAUCCCACAUAGGAAUUCAUGGGGGAAGGUCCCAGUUUAUAAUUUUAUUGGGAAGAAUCCCAACUUAAGAUAUCUUGGAGAAUAUCCCACUUAAGAAAUAAUGGGAAAGAUCCCAACCGAAGAAAUGUUGGAGAAGAUCCCAACUCAAGAAAUACUGGGGAAGAUCCCAACUUAAGAAAUCUUGGCGAAGAUCCCAACUUAAGAAAUACUAGAGAAACUUCCAACUGAAGAAAUAUUGGGGAUUAUCCAACUUUAGAUAAUACCUAUGGGAAAUUGCAACUUUAGAUAAUAAUUGCGGAAAAUCCGAAUUUCAGAUAAUAAGCAGGGAAAAUCCCAACUUCAGAUAUAGUUGGGGAAAAUCCCAACCUCAGAUAGUAAUUGGGGAAAAUCCUAACUUCAGAUAAUAACUGGGGAAAAUCCCAACUUCAGAUAAUAACUAGUGAAAAUCCCAAAUUCAGAUAAUAAAUGGGGAAAAUCCCAAGUUUAGAUAAUAACUGGGAAAAAUUCCAACAUUAGAUAAUGGUUGUCGAAAAUCCCAUUUCGUAAGAUAAAGUAAUAAUGUUAUAAACCAUAGAAAUUUACUGGGGAGGUUCCCAAUUUAUGAUAACACGAUAAUGUUAUAAAACAUAGAAAUUUACUUAAGGAUCUUAGCAUAUGUUCAGAAAUAAGGGUGUUGUCAAGUCACUAAAGCGUGAAAUGAUCCCCAUAUUCACAUCCCAUAGUUAGAUAUCAUGUGUCCGAGGGAGGUAUAUAAACCUAAACUCAUAAGAAAGUGGUCAUUAACUCUUUAAACCUUAGGAUCUUAACAUAUGUUCAUAAAUAAAAGGGUUUCCAAGUCACUAAUGCUUGAAAUGAUCCCCUUACUCACAUCACAUAGUAAGAUAUUGUGCGUCCAAGUGGGGUGUGGAAACAAAACCACGGAUGAAAGAGGUUAUUAACUCUUUAAACAAUAAAGGGAUUAAUUACCCGGAGUAAAGAUGAUCAAUCGCUAUUUGUAGUGGCUAGGAUCCUUGAGUUUCUCCAUGUUGCAAACGCUAUCUUGGGGUACGUGUUAACUUGGCUAACAUCCCUUUAAUGCUUAAGUCAAUAGUGUUCUUAGAAUAAAAAUAGACAACGAAAAGAAAUAAGGGCAAUGAGUAUAUCGAUACCUCGACUAAGUUGUGAUGAACUGUGACUAAAUUGACUUACAUAAUGUAUGCUUCAAGAUGUAUAAUUUUUCGGGAUCUUGGUAAUAUGCUUCCAUCUAGGGUAGCUAGUCAAUAUGCCCCCAUUCUUGCUUAUAAAUAAAUGAGAUAUUCACACUUCUGAGCAUGUAGGAAGGCAUAUUUCUUCAUGGUUGGAUGAUAGUAUCCUGUUCUUAAAACAUUAGAACACAAGGAUUUAUCCCCAAUAUGAUUUCAACAAUCCCCUUCAUAUUUUCCUUUUUACAACUUCUAUGGCUUCUUGGUCUUAGAUAUGCACAUCCUAUGGAUUUCUUUUAUAAUACUCCAUAUAUCAUUAACAAAGCGUGAGAUCCUCAUCUUGAAUGCUUUAUUGUUAUUCUCUUCUUUUGGGAUUGUACAAUUCUGGAGAUACUCUAUGAUGGAUCCUAAACAUCGAAAUCCUGGUAAGACGAUCGAGGAAUUGGGCCUCCGAUUGCUGCUAUGUUAGAUGUUUGAUCAUGGUCGUCGGGGUCAUCAGGUCUCUCGGGGGGAUCUUCUAUCGCAAGUAUCAUUAUGUGCGUUAUUGGGAUCCUGGUAUCUGGCGGGAUCCUAAGGGAAGACUCUAUGUUGGCUAAUGUGUAUGCCUCGAUAUUAUCUUCUCUAGGAACUUAAUCCAGACUAAAAGCUUCAAAUUCAGAGGCUAAUUUUUUAAAAAUUUUAAGGUAUGGUGCCAGCCCUUUCGCCUUUAACUGCAUAGAAUCUAUUAAAGUGGUUAGUUAUUAAUAACGAAUCGACAUAUACCUGAAGAUCCUUGAUCUGAGGAUCCUUGGCUAGUUGUAGCCUCAUGAUCAAUGCUUCAUUUUUCUAUUUUGCUGUUAUUUGAAUUUAAUUCACAACUAAUUUCUACGGGUAGGACGUGGUGAUUUUUGUUUGAUCCCUAGGUCAUUUCUCUUUUGGUUGAUGCUCCUUGUGUUAAGUGAGUUCAUUUUCCUUGAUCUUCUUCUUUUAGAAGUUAUCGAAUUUCUAGUUCUAUUUCUGGCAGUAGAUCAUCACUAAAGUCAGCCACAAAGUACACUAAUGCUUGUGACUUAUCACCGAACUUGGUUUAUACUUGAUAUCAUUAUUGCUUAGCUUCAUAAACCAUUUUUCCAUCCUUCCUGACAUCUCAUGUUUUCUCAUAACAUUCUUUGUAGGAUAGUUAGUUUGAAAAUGUAUAGUAUAAUGUAUUAGUUUUAAAGAAGUUAUAACUAGUGCAAGUAUUAGUUUUUCUACAUGAGAGUACCUGGUUUCUGGAUCCACUAGACUUUUACUUACAUAAUAAGUGGGAUGUUGAUCUCUCUUAAGAUCCUUAGCUAUGAAUCCACACACCAUGUUUGAGGAUACUGAAUUGUAUAGAAGAAGUGGUUCUCCAUCUAAAGGUUUUACCCAUAUGGAUGUCGAACUUAGGUAUCUUUUAAGUUCCUAGAAGUCAUCUUCAUGCUUCUUAGUCCACUCAAAUCUUUUGUUUUUCUUUAAGAUGUCGUGGAAAGUUUUACAUCUUUCUAAGGAUCUUACGAUGAAGCUAUCUAAGGCUACCACUCUUCUUGUUAGUCUUUGAAUAUCUUUUGUCGAGGAUGAGGAUCUUAGAUCAAUGGUUGCUUUGACUUUCUCAGGAAUCGCUUGAAUUCCUCUUUUGGUCACCAUAUACCCAAGGAACUUACCUGAUCUCAUUCAAAAGUCACACUUGGAGGGGUUCAACUACAUGUUAUAUUUGUCCAAUAUGUGGAAGGCUUCUUCAACAUCCUUGAGAUGAUCUUCAGCUUUCUUCGACUUGACCUCGAUGUCAUCAAUGUAGACUUCCAUGGUGUCCCCCAGUUUUUCUUUGAACACCCUAUUGACUAGCCAUUGAUAUAUUACACCUACACUUUAAGACCAAAUCGCACGAUAGUAUAACAAUACAUACACGUUGGCGUUAUGAAUGUUGUAUUCUAUGCUUCAGAUGGUUCCAUUUGGAUUUGUUGGAACCCUGUUGAUGAACCCAUGAAUGUUAGAAUUCAUGACCAGUUGUGGCAUCUAUCAUGGAGUCAAUAUGUGACAACCAUCAAAAUUCGAGACAGUUCUAGAUUUGAAUAAACUUGGUUACACAUAUAGGCAUGACACAUACUAGACUUGGUAACUGGAAACUAAGUUAUAAACUACUAGAAACUUGGAAACAAGUAGAAUCGAAGAAUAGUGUACUUCAAUUUCACAUUGGUAUGUGAAUUCUACAAAUACUUAACUUUAAUGACUAUCCAUAUUCGGGUCAUUCCUUAAAUUGAAGCUCUUUGCAAGAAUCAUGUAGGCACAUCAUGCACUUGACCUAGAAGUAUAAAUUAGAUCAACGUCUCAUAGAAACUUAAGUCAAUGUUAAAAACUCGGACUAGUAUACUUGAUUCCUCAAGUUCGCUUCAAUCUAGGAAUCACUACAUAGAAUGCCAAUAAACCGAUAAAAAUAAAUUACAAAUAUUAUUUCUAACUUGAAUAAGAGUUAGGAAAACCACAAAUAAUUUAAAAGUCUCAAAGAUUCAAUUUAUUUCGAUAUCCCAAGAUAUAGAAAAUUCCUCAAAACCUUAAAAGUCCUAAAAACUUAAAUUUAUGAAGUUUUAUAUUAAAAUCCCAUAAAUUUUUUUUAUAAAAACUAUAAUAUCAAAUAAAUAUAUUAAAAUGUGGAAAUAUAAUCAAAGACAUUAAUUUAAUUUAUUAAGAUUAACUUCACGUUUAUAAGCUAAAAAUCCAAGAAUUAUGAACAAAAUUUAUAUAAAAUUCACAUUUUAUACAAAUUGAAAGAAAUUAUAUAAAAAUUUAGGGAUUUAUACAAAAUAAAUAAAUAAAAUAUGAUGAAAUCUCCUCAAACUCCCUCAAAUUCAGAAUCCCCCUCUCUCCCCUCAUUUCUCCUUCCUAAUACUAAUCAUUUUGAUCACCCAUUCACUCCACUUAUCUCUUUCUUUCUCAAAAAACUUCCCUCUUCAUUUCCUUAACAAAUGAUGAACCUAGAAGCAAUAUAAUUAGGAGAGAUUUUUAUAUUCAAUUCUUUAUGAAUUCAUAAGCAUACUUGUAUUUUGUUGCACGAUUUUGGUGCAGUAUAACCCAAAAGAGAUGACGAGAGAGGUGAGGUAUCCUGAGAGAUAUAAUCUCUUUUUUGUCUUUUCUUCUCUCUAAAACCCCCACUAUUUACCUCUAUGAAUUACCUCCAAAACCUACGAAAUUUCCAGCGAAUAUCCCUCAUUUUACUCAAGAAUAUUCAUCAUAUGAAGUCGAUCUUCAGGGUAAAAUCAAUUUCCUUUCAUUUUGUUCACUUUUCUUUCAAAAAUAUCAAGUUUUCUUGCAUUUUUCUUCUCCGUAAAAACUUUUCUUUGAGAUUAUUCACAUGUAUGUUCAUGCAUGUCGAAUUUGAAGAUAAUGGUGGUAGGAUUUCAUCCAAAAACAACAUGCAUGUUGUUAGAAGGUGAAAUCCAAUGAUCAAAACCUAAAUCAAAUCCAAUAAUUUAAGUUUCACAUGUUUUAAACAUCCAAAAUCCCAUACAUUCAAGUUUUUAAUUACAAACAUCAUUUUGAACAAAAUAAGUUCAUACAUGGUCUUCAAAUCAUAAUGCAAGUGAUGAACAUCAAGCUUAGAGGCUUGAUUAUCAAAGUACAUUGUUAAGAAUGCUUAUAAAUGCUUUAUUCAUAAAUAAAUACCUAAACUUCUUUUCUGUUCAAAUAUGAUAUAUUCCAGAAUCCAAACAUGAAAAUAACAUGAUCUGGAAAUUUUCAGAAAAUAAAUCAUUUUUCUCAAUUUAUUGUAAUGUUUUCAAAAAAAUAGAGCAAUAAUUCACAUAAAAUACAUAUUAUGAUCAAUAAAUUCUGGUAAAUUUUUAUAUGGCCUACGUACUGAUUAAAGAAGUUUCAUGAAGUUGCAUGCAUUUCUAUGAUUGUUUUCUAUGGAUUUCAAUUUUUUUUGAAGAGAAAUAAAUUGUAAGAUACAGUUACCAAUGUCCAAAACCAUAUUUCAUAUUUUUCACAUCUUCUAAACAUCAUAAAACCUCAUUGGAAAUUUUUUUCAGAUUUUUCCAAGAAAAUUUCUUAUUUUUCCCUAUUUAAUGAAUGCUUAAGGGAUUAAAAUGAUGAAAAAUAGCUACACUUAUCAAAAAAUUAUGAAACAUCAUCAGAGUAUCUUAUAUUAAAUAUAAAUGGUAAAUAAAAUGUUUAGUUAAUUUUACCUACUUUUUAAUAAAUUUUCACGAAUUAAUGCUUAUUUAUACGAAUAAAACAAUGAAAAAUAGUUAAACUAUUUGAAAACCAUAUUUGAUAUUAUUUCUAGGUUAUAUAUGUUAAAUAACAGUGGCACAAAACGUUUGGAGAAUUUUAUAAACUGUUUCCUAUUUAAUUUGAUUUUACUAUAAUAAAUAUACAAAAAUCAUAAAAUCGGGUUAAACUGUUUGAAAAUCACUUUGAGUAUUUUUCCCAAUUUAUAUACAUGGUAUAACAAUUUUACAAAAAGAUUGAGAAUUUUUAUUAACUCUUUAUUAUUUUUCACGACUUUAUGCUGUUUUCAAGGGAUUAAAUGGUGCAAAAAUGGUUAAACAUAUUUACAAAUCAUGAAAAAUUACAAGUGGGUUCUAAAUUUUAGUUACAACUGAAAUGUAAAGUUCGGAAAUGUUUAGAACUGAUUUUAUUUAGUUUUGGAUUUUUAGUUUGUAAAGCCCUUCCAAAAGUGCUAAAAUGUAUUACAAAAACAACACAAAAUUAGAUUUGUCACUUGCAAAUCUUAAUAAGUCAAUUGGUAUACAGAAAUCUGAAUUUUCAAAAAACUAUUUGCAAAUUAUACAAAACCAAACUUUGACACAAUAUCGACAUAAUUUUAUUGUAAUAUUAAAUAUACUAGUAUAAAAUUUCGAUUAGAGACUCGUUAGUGUGUAACAUCGUUGUAGGAAUCAAUAGUGAUACAAGUGGAAUGUAGUUCACAAAAUCAUUUGCAUCAUCUUAAUGUAUUGUGAGUAUUCACACAUCCACCUAUUUUCGAUUUUUAUGUUUUGGAGUGGAAAAGCAUGUUUGAAAAACUAUUUAUUGUUCGUUGUAUUUAAAUUGAUUUGUAUCAAACUUGAUUGCUAUAUUUUUCUAUGAAUGUCUAUACAACUUGAAACAUGUGGACUUAUCGUCUUAAGUCUCUUCCCUUCCUUUAAUCCAACAAUUAACUCUUUGAGCCGAUGGUCAUUAUGGAUAGCGCUAUUAAGAAUUGAAAACUCCUCACUCACCUGAUUGCUUGAGUGCAUGAUACCAUAUUCAUCUAUGGAACGAUAAGCAGAAAUCUUGAUAGGGCAUCAGUCAUAGGCUUGGUUGUGAACUCAUUAUUUACUCAUAUACAUACAAACUUGUUACUUAUUAUAGCAAUAAACUUUGUUUCUAAUUAUAACAAUAAACUUUUAUUAGUGGAGACUUAUUUACUUUCUUAGAAACGAACUUGUUUGCUCCUUGUAACAACGAACUCUUUUGCUCCUUGUAGCAACGAACUUGAUUGCUCAUUAUAGCAAUGAAACUUGUUUACUCGUUUUAGUAACGAACUUUAUUUCCCAUGAGAAUAUAGACGUUGCUUCUCAUUUGGGCAACAUACUUUAUCUCUCAUGAUGACAAUGAACUUUGUCUAUGCAAACUUAUUUACUCAUUUGUGCGAUAUAUUUUUAUUUAUGGAAUCUUAUAUCAAAAUUUUGAUUCUGAUUCAUGAAACCAAUAUUAUUUUUAAUUUGUGAACUCACAAACUAUUUCGGUAGUUGCCGCUCAUUUUACAUGCUUUUUUAGGAACUUGUCUAUAAGAUGGCACUUAGGGAUACAUCUAUUUUAGGAGCAUUCGCAUGUUUUGUAUUUCUAUUAAAUUGUAAUUACUUUUAAAAGUUUUUCAAACCCAUUGUAAAUUUGUAAUGUUUUUUAAUACUAUGGUUGGUGUUGUCUUUAGCUUUUGUUAUGAAACCCUUUAUACUGCCAGGACUCGUAUUUUUGCUUUAGCGGGGUGUGAAACUAUAUCUGGCAAAGGGAAAGGAUCCUUGGGACAAACCUUAUUGAGAUAUGUAACACAUACUCUCCAUUUUCCAUUCUUCUUUAGUACUACGACCAGGUUGGCUAGCCAUCUUGGUAACUUCACUUCCUUGAUCACUCCUAUUUUAAGAAGUUUUUAUACUUCUUGUAUGAUUUGGUUGAAGGGUUUUGAGCACUCAAACAACCUUAUGCUGCACAUGCAACCCCAGAUGCUUUGGAUCUAAAUUUUCUCUAAUUAUACAUGCAAUUACAUUUUCCAAAGCAUACAUCCUAACUAGCAUACAAUUUGACAAUUGAACAAUAUAACUAGUUAGAUAACUUACCUCUUAGUUUGACUUGUAGUUCUUGGCCUUCAAAAGCUUUAGCACCUAAAAUGUGAUGCCUCUAAUGUGUCAAAAACACCAAGUGCAAAAGGAGGCUUAAGAGAAUAAGUUAUUUAGCACAAAAUUGGUUCUCACUCACUAAAAAUGUAUUGGGAACCGAUUUUAGCCCUAGGGGAUACCUUUUAUAGUGUGAAAAAUGCUAGGGUUACAUCCAUGCAAACCCUAAUGUACAAUGACCCUUCAUAUUACUUAGGCUCCAUGGGUUAAACCUCCCUGGACUAUCAUAUUGGUUUAGCCCAUCCUAAUUAACCAUGGAUCAUUGGCCUACAAUAUAAGAAUCAUUGAUUUACUUAAUUAGUCCUCGUAUAUUUAAUUAGUCUCUUUUGAUCACUAAAUUAAUUCAAAAUUAAAUCUUGAUGAAUACUAGUUAAAUAAUAUGAUUUCAUAUUAAUAUAUUAUACUUGUAAUAUAUUAUUUAAUCAAAAUAACCUUAUUCUCAAAGUUCAUCCUAUCAAAUUGCAUCGGUGAAUGCAAUCAAAAAGGACCAUGCUACUCUCGGGUCAAGUGUACAUAACAAUUAUAGUCAUGGUCUUAGACACCUAAUCCAACAGUCUCCCACUUGGAUAAAUCUAAUAACUAUAACUGCAAGUACGACUUAACACAGUCAGUGAUGUAUCCUUUACAUAGUGGAUCAUAUAAUCCUCUGUUCAUCAAGAUAUCAUCCAGACAAAUACAUGGAACAAUGUCAUACUUAUUGUCCAACAGUUUGAUUCUCGAUUUCAGACUUGUUUGACAGAGAACUUAAUUGAACACAUCAGUUUAGUACCGACCGGGCCCGACACAUAAAUGAAAACAAAAUCAUUGAGGGGCAGAAGAUAUCACAUUUAAUCCUCCAAAAAUUAACAGGAACAUAUAAAUGUCUAGAUUAUAUUCUUGUACUAACUAUUCGUUAAUUCAUACACAACAGUGCGUUUUAAAACAUCAAGUUACCGAUGCGUUUUCACACUAUCAAUGUACAACUCAUAGCGAACAACUCAUAUAUCUUGGUGUGAAGACUUAUAUCAUAUUAUUUUCUCACAAUCACCCGUGAUAAAAUCCAUGAAGUGAUUCAAGUAAGCAUGAGUUUAAUCCAAUACUCAGACCUUAUCAUUAAUCAUGAAUGUUGUAGCAAUCUCUUGUUAUGUCUAAAACACUUCAGACAAUCUACAAGCCAAAUUCAUGAUAGUCUUCAGGCUCGAUCCUGGCGAUGGGCGACCUGGGCGACCGCCCAGGGCCCAUUAUCCUAUGGGGACCAAGAAAAUGAAGGUAUGUUAUAUGUACUUUUAAACAUUACAGAAUACAAGUGUUGCAUUAUGUGACAACCUGAAAUUUCCAUUCUGUAUAACAUAUCAAGUCAAUAGAAGUUAGAACAUUUGCAGUAAAUUUUCAGAAUUUUGGUAUAAGUUUGAGUAUUUCAGGAUUUACACUUGAAGAGAUAUGAGGAGAGAGGAUGCACUAGGGUAUUGUGCAACUUUGUUAUUCCAAAACUUGUUGAUAGUAGAUUUCACUGCAUGAAUAAAAUAUUUUCUGCCAAAAACCCCAGAAGUAUAUAUAUGAUUCUGAGCCAUAAUUAUUCAUUUGUUACAUUUCCAACUAGAGAAAAACCAAAUUCUCUCUCAAGGAUCUUCGGACUUUCAUCCCAAAACGUGAUUACUUCUAUCUAAGUGUGCUAUAAGGCUUGGUAUGUGCCUAAUACACUAGAAAUGAUAAGAAACCAACAAUAUUUAAGAGUUUACGUCCCAGGAACAUCUUGGACCGUAAACCCUUCUUUAAGGGGCAAAGAGUGCCCUAGUCCCUUCCUUGUGCAAUUAAACUAGUUAAACUUGUACCCUAAUGUGUUUAGGACUAGAAAACUCCCCUAGAAUACCAAGAGUAAGGUGUUCACAGCCCAAGAAGUUCUUGGACCGUGAACUCCAAACAAAAGGGCCAAAGUGUGCUUUAUACUCUCCUUAAGCCUUAGAAACUAGCCUAGAUUGAUUCCUAGUUAGUUAGGGGCUUGAAAACACCAAAAACACCCUUUCCAUGGGAGAUUACGGCCGUAAUCUCCAAGGGGUUUGGUCCCAGGGCCGUGAACUCCUCAAAGGCGUUAAAGGAUGCCCUAAUCUCUUCCAAAGACCUUGUCAUUAAGUAUAAAUGCUUCUUAGGGUCUUGUAAAUCCACAAAACAUCAAAAGAUCAAGUAAGUAUGAGCUUACGACUGUAAACCCAUGAGUUUACGACCGAAAACACAUUUGUUGGUGACAUUAGGGUCGUGAACUCCAUUAGGGAGUUUUUCGUGAACCCUAUACACACUAGCUUGUCCCUACAACACUUAGAUGCAAUCCUUCAGGCUUAAAACACUUGUUAAAGGUGUUUAAUAUGUCCUAGGGUGUCUUGAAAUUGUUUAUUAGUUAUUUAAAUACUAAUUUAAUACAUAUAUGUGAUAUUAUAUGUUAACUAGGAUCAUAGAAUGUGUUCAAGACUUCACUUGACACCUAGCAAUCCUACAUCUUCAGUUCAGCCGUAGCACUCACUACAGGUGAGUUUAUACCCCUUAAUCAAUGUUUUAAAUGUUUUUAAAUUUUUUAUGGGGGGGNAUACAAGUAGAAUCAUGUUAGUUAUUAUAUCAAUCACAUGUGAUUAAUAAGCAACAUUCAAAUGAUUUACUACUCAUUAGCUGUUUUACCAUGCAUCUUUCUUCAAAUGAUUUUCAUAAACAUUUUAUAUGUUUAAAUCUCUUCAUUAUACACUGUAUGUUUCAUUUCAAACUUAUAUACAAUUGUGUUGCAAACAAAUGUUUCUUUAUACUUAAAUUGUUUUAUCAAACCCAUGCUUUCAACCCGUUUUAUAGAUUGACAUCAAGUUGAUCUUUUCUUAAAUAUAAAUCAUGUUCAAAGGUUUUACAAAACUUAUUUUAUGCUUCUAUAUUGUCAAUUGCAUGCCUAUAUAUGUAUAGUUACAUAAGCAAUGUUUAAAAGACUUCGUAAGGCUAGCCGCCUUAUUUCCUUUUCACCGUUGAGAUGUGGUCUGGUGGGGUACCGGGUAUCCGUCCGAAUUUCGUUUAAAUAUUAGUUAUGUAUCAUGUGUACAUAUAUAGUCAUAAGGUUUCUUCUAGACAGUUCAAUACCCUUGGGUAGCAAGGGUACACUCCUAUGUUCAUACGUACCAGUUACAUUACUAGUAAGCUACCAUAUGGGUAGUUUAGGAAGAUACUAGAACUAUUACUAGAACGUAAUAUCAUACAAUGAGUUAGUUAAUUCUUGAGUCAAUACUUUCUAGAUAGAGAGGGAACACACAUUAUAGCUAGUACACACAGUACAUUACUAUACAUGCUAGACAGAGAGAGAACACACAUUACAGCAAGCAUACGCAGAAGAUUACAUUACAUUACUAUACAUGCUAGAUAGAGAGAGAACACACAUUACAUCUAGCACACACAGAAUACACAGUACAUUACUAUACUAUUUACAAAGAUAUGUUUACAUGAUGACGCUUACAUGAGUACGUUUACAUGAGUAUGUUUACAUAUACAAUGAUAGGACAGACAUCACUAGGUGCUAUAGCAUGGAACAAGUUCAGGAUCUAACUAUACCAAUGAAUCACAAUGCAUUGUGAUAGUUAUAUUGGGUAUACCUGAUCAUAGUAAUGUGGAUGCUCACGGCUUGAAAAUAUGCAGGGGUCGUGUAUGGGUCCCAAAAUCCCUUUGAUAGGGGAGCCUCUAGCCUGGGAUCUAGCCAUCACAUUAUGCCUUAUCACUCAAAUACGACAGUGUUAGUAUAGAAGUAGCCACUUAUUACAAAUACUACAGUACUUACAAGUUUACAAUAGACUUAAGGUAGUUAGUACGGUUGUAGUUAUUCGAUACUACACCAUAGUACUAUUUCCUUUUCCCAUUACAUUCACUUCGUGAACAUUCACACGAUGCAUGGUAAUGUAGAAGCUAUAUUUUGGAUAAUGAUUGUCGGAUUUGGGAAAAUACACACUCUUACAAGACACACACACAGAUACUAGAUGCCUUGGUAGAAGGAUACUUUUAGUAGGAAACAUAGGGUUUUCUAGACUGUUCAUACAAAUAGUUACAGUUCAUAUACAUACAAAUACUUACAGUUCAUACACAUACAAAUACUUACAUACAAAUUAAGACACUAAAAUACUUAUGAUCUCACCAGCUUUAAAGCUGAUAAUCUCUUUCAAAAUAACUUGUAUCCUCAGGUCAACCAUAGACAGGUACCGACGCAAGGUUCAGAGAAGAUGGUGCUCGUUCAAGACUCAUCUUUCAUUUUCAUUUAUCCUUUAGUGUCUAUCAUAAUUUGACAAAACACACUUGUAUUAAAAUUAUUAUAUUAUUAAUGCAAUGGAUGAUGUUGUUGCUUGUUUACUACUUUUCAUUGUUGUGAUAAUGUACACGACGUCCUCCACCCUAAAACGUUUCCGCCGUUCAUGGUUUUGGGGUGUGACAGAUUGGUAUCAGAGCAUUGUUUAUAGUGAAUUGAGUAUAUCAACCCAUAAAAGAUAUACAGACUAUAAAUACAAUGGGAUAAAAAUACUCUGACCAAUAGUUUAUACUUUAAAUGAUAAAAUAUUUAAUUAAGUAUACGUGCCUGCAUUCAUACUAAAAUUAGUGUCACUAGGACAGUACAAAAGAAUUACAAUUGUUGGGAAACACACGUGGACAUAGAGACAUAUAGUCAAAAAUGGGAAGAUAUAGCCUGAUCAAUUAUAUUAUCCGAGGGUUGACUAGCAUGUGCCUAAGUGUGGUUGUGUGGUUGCAACAAGUCUAAAAUCUUACCAACAAUACCACAAUGAGAACAGUAGAACAUAACAUUAAACUUAAAAUACUAUAGGAGUAUUUGGUGUUACUAUAAGUACUUUAUACUUGAGAACUAAAACGGGAUCUUCAUUACUAAGUUGAUAGUUGCUAAGUGGAUACAGUAAAGCUAUAUGUAAUUAGGAUGUUAUAGACUUAGAAUCUGUGAAAAUUUUACUUUACCCCUAUUCUGUGUGAAUUUGGAGUUAAGGUCACUUAUUCGAAGGCCUAUCCUGUUUCGAUUACAUAUAACUGGUAUGCACUUCACAAAUAGUGAUGUAACUAAUGAAGAUUUUCUAAAUAAUUAUCUAGAUAGUUCGUCUAAUACUUAUUUUCUUACCCCAAAUUCUCGCGUAGAUAAUAUGGCUGAACUCCAUCCCCACGGCAACCAGUACCUUCCGAACGAAGUCAUUGCUGGUUGGUUUGGAGAAGAACCAGAGAAUGAUCAACCUAUCCUUUUGAAUGAUCACCAUGAUGAAGACCAUUCGAACAGUGAUAAAUCCGAACCCGAGGUUGAGAACCUACCCCAGGCAGCUCCCGUUCUAAUUCCUAACCCUCGUCCGACUUUUGAUGGCCCGACACCUCCAUGGGUGGAAUGUUUGGAAACAUGGAGCCAAGGACAAUAUCAGCCCAUGCCAUUUAAUGGUGACCGAAGCUUUUAUGACCUGAUGUCACACCCCCAAACCUGAACAGCGGAAACGUUCGGGGGCGGAUGACUUCAUGUGGUAACGUAACAAAUGAAUACAUAGUAAAGAAAGCAAUACAACCAUCACAUAUAUAAUUGAAAGUUUACAUUUGUCAAAAGUUACAUGUUCAAAACCAAUUACAAUAUGAUGUCAAAAUAUGAGAUUAAACUGGCGCCGCAGCAUCCCUUCAUCAAAAGCAUAAUGAUACCUGAAAUUACUGAUUUCCUGGGACAUACAAGUAAUUUUGAAAGAGUAGAUCAGCAUUUAAGCUGGUGAGUUUCAUAAGUAUUUAAAUGACAAUGUUUGUAUGAAAUGAAAUGUUUUGUCCUUGUUUGUUUGUGUUUAGAAAAUCCUAUAUUUUCUACUAGUAUAAAAGUAGCCUUCUCUCAAGACCAAUGUUUGUUUCUAAAAUGUAUGUAAGUGUAAAAUAACCAAUGUGUUUGAAAACCUUGUAAAUCAAUGCAUUUUUAAUACCCCAUGUGAGUUUUAUAACCAUACUAUUGACUCGGAAUGCCUAUACACAACGUUCUUCAGGCGUUGGAAUGUUAUGACGUUUGUUACCCCAAACGGUGGACUGUAGCUAACAGUCAGGGCGCGGGUUGUCAAGCCCGUAUAGAUCUAUACACAAACACCAUGCUCCCCCUCCAAGGGAUUCUGGUAUAUAAUACAGGACUUGAAAUGUGUACUCGAACGUACGUGAAGUUUAUGUCUCACAAAACCGUGGUAUAAAAACAGAUUUACGUGUUAAAAUGUUCGUUUGUUCUUGUAUAUGAAAGUGACUUCUUGAAAAUCAUGUUUCUAGUAUGUAAAAGUUAGUAAUAUCCUCGCAAAACUAUACGUAUUAUAGUUUUCUAAAAGUGUGUCUCUUUUGUUUAGAAAUACCUAGAAAAGGAAUCACUUGUUAUGAAAGUAUAGAUUUUUGUAGAGCCUAAGAUAGGCAAGUAUACAUAAAGUCUAAGAAAAUGUUUAGUUUAUACAUGCAUAACAAAAAUUUAUAUUUCAAAAGGUAGAAUGCUAUUGUAACAUAUUUUAUAUACGAAAGAUUCCUAUAAAGUUUAUAAAUCACAAGUGAUUUGGAUAUAUAAAAGCAUAUAAAAUAAUUCUUUAUGUAACACACGAUAAUACUCGUGUGUUUUACUUGUAUUCCCCCCCUUGAAUGCAUAUAAAAACAUUUAGAAUAUCUUAAAAAGGUUAAUUAAGGGGUAUGAACUCACUUGAAAGUUUGAAGAUGUGACAACCCGAAAUUUCCAUUUGUACGAACAAUAUCUAUUCAAUAGAAGCCAGUCCAAUUUCAGUGAUUUUCAGACUUUUUCGAACAAGUUUGUGUGCAUUAGGGUUUACACUUCAGGAAAUAUCAGGAGAGUGGAUGCUCCUGGGUUUGUGAAAUUUGAACAUUUCAAGUUUCAUAAUGUUUCAGUCCAAGUUCGAGAAUAAAAGUAUUUUCUGUCAAAAUAUUUCAGGUCUAUAAAUAGUUUUCUGAAUUAAAUUAAUUCAUUAUUCACAAUUACAACUAGAGAAAAGCCAUUUUCUCUCUGACGGAUCUUCGGGUUUUUAUCCCAGAUUGUGAGUAACUCUAUCUAGUAGUGUUAGAAUACAUAUUAGAUGCUUAUAACAUGAUUUAGAUGGGUAAAUCAUUAGAUCUAGGAGUUUACUCCCCAAGGUCGGAUGGGGAGGGUCGGAUGGGGCGGGUCGGUAGCUUCGCAUAGGGGCGACGUGGACGGACCGAGACCAAGGCCCUCGGGUACGCUGGGCGUACGAGGUUACGCAGCGCGUAACUCGGAUGAGGAUGCUGACUCCUUCUUCGGAUAUUACCGGAUUUUUGAUUUAAAUAUAUAUAAAUUAUUUAAUAAACUUCAAAAAUUCAUAUCUCCUUCAUACGAACUCCGUUUUUGAUGGUCUUUAUAUCCACGUGAAGGUGAGACUACGCUCUACAACUUUCGUUUAGAUUCCGUUGGCAAAUUCCAAAAUUAUUUUUAUUAUUUAUUUAUAAAAUGACGUGAUUAAGGAAUUUCUUUAAAAAUUCAAAACUUCUUUAUGUGACCUUCGAUUCUCGUUUACGUCAUUCCGACCAAAAGUUGCUUGAUCUCCGAUUCGAGUUUUUAGUUGUCUGCUGCUAAGCCGAACUUGGAAAAAUCUUAACUUCAAUAUACAAAGUCGGAUUUCGGCGUUCUUUUUGCGUACGAUCAUGUUUUAAUGACAUUUAACAUAGUAGGUAGUUAAAUAGAAACUUCUUGGACAUUCUAUUAUCAAAGUUCAUUUCUUUAAUUCAAAAGUGGUUACAAUACUUGACUUUUUAGGUCAUUACAAAGAGUUGAAAUAUUGGGUUGUAACAUCAUCCCCCCGUUAGAGGGAAUUUCGUCCCGAAAUUUAAAGUAGUAAAGAUACUAGUGAACAUGAAAGAGAUGAGGGUACUUUUGUUUCAUCUGAUCUUCACGUUCCCAUAUGAAUUCAGGUCCCCGCUUGGCGUUCCAGCGAACCUUCACAAUGGGUAUGCGACUUUGUUUUGUUUGUUUGACCUCUCGGUCCAUCAUUUGUACUGGUUCUUCCACAAAGUUGAAGCUCUCGUUGAUCUCGAUCUCGUCGAGUGGAAUAACAAGAGUCUCAUCGGACAGACACUUUUUCAAGUUCAAGACGUGGAAGGUUGGAUGUAUGUUAAGCUUGUAAGCCACAGGGCCGAUUCUGGAAAGAAUCUCGAAAGGCCCAAUGUAUCUUGGAUUUAGUUUCCCACGCUUUGCAAAGCGUAUUAAACCCUUCCACGGUGAGACCUUUAAUAAAACGUGGUCUCCUACCUGGAAUUCCAAAGGUUUCCUCCUUUGGUCAGCGUAGCUUUUCUGUCGGUCUCUAGAGGCUUUCAAUCGCUCACGAAUCUGAACGAUCUUCUCUGUCGUUUCUCGUAUGAUUUCCGGACCGGUGAGAGUGCUUUCAGGAACUCUUCCUUUAUCUAACUGGGUAUCGCCAACUUUAGUCCGGCACAGAGGGGAUCUGCACUUUCGACCAUAGAGGGCUUCGGACGGAGCAGCCUUUAUGUUUGUAUGAUAACUAUUGUUGUAUGAAAAUUCUACAUGGGGUAAAUGGAUAUCCCAUGCCUUUCCAAAGUCAAUCACACAGGCUCUCAGCAUAUCUUCUAAAGUUUGUAUCGUUCUUUCACUUUGCCCGUCUGUUUGUGGGUGGUAGGCUGUACUCAUGUCUAGCCUAGUCCCCAGGGAACUUUGUAGUGACUGCCAGAAUCUUGAAGUGAAUCUACUAUCUCUAUCGGAGAUAAUGGAUAUCGGAACACCAUGCAGUCGCACUACUUCCCUUAAGUAAGUUCUUGUAAGCUUCUCCAUUUUGUCAGUCUCCUUGAUGGGUAGGAAAUGCGCGGAUUUGGUCAAUCUGUCGACAAUGACCCAUAUGGUAUCGAGUCCACUUGUCGUCUUGGGUAACUUGGUUAUGAAGUCCAUAGUAAUCCGCUCCCAUUUCCAUUCUGGUAUCUCUGGUUGUUGUAGUAAUCCUGACGGUUUCUGAUACUCGACCUUAACCUUAGCGCAAGUAAGACAUUUACUCACGAAGGUAGCAAUUUCUGCUUUCAUGUUAGGCCACCAGUACAGUUUCUUAAGAUCCAGAUACAUUUUAUCUGAACCCGGGUGAACGGAAUAUCUUGAGUUGUGAGCCUCGGUCAUGACUACGUUUCUGAAACCACCAUGAUUUGGGGUCCAGAUUCGGUCCAUGAGAUAGUAGGCUCCGCCACCCUUGACUUCUAAAUUCUUCUCCAUUCCUCGCAGGGAUUCACCCGCCACAUUUUCAGGUUGCAAAGCUUCCAUUUGUGCUUCCUUAAUUUGUGUGGAUAAGUGGGAAUGGAUAGUCAUGGUCAGAGAUUUGACCCUCCGACCAGUGUAUUCCUUUCGACUGAGGGCGUCGGCUACUACGUUGGCCUUGCCAGGAUGAUAACGAAUUUCGCAUUCGUAGUCAUUCAGUAACUCAACCCAUCGUCGUUGUCGCAUGUUGAGUUCCUUCUGAUCGAAAAUGUGUUGAAGGCUCUUGUGAUCGGUGAAAAUAGUACUCUUUGUUCCGUAUAAGUAGUGCCUCCAGAUCUUCAGAGCAAAUACCACUGCUCCUAACUCGAGAUCGUGUGUCGUAUAGUUCACUUCGUGUGUCUUAAGCUGUCGGGAGGCAUAAGCGAUAACCUUCCCUCUCUGCAUAAGAACACAACCAAGUCCUUGAUUUGAAGCAUCGCAAUACACUACGAAGUCUUCUAUCCCUUCGGGGAGGGAUAGUAUCGGUGCGGUGCACAAGGCCUGCUUUAGUGUCUGGAAUGCCUUCUCUUGUUUCGCUUCCCAGUCAAAGGCCACACCUUUCUGGGUUAAUGAAGUAAGAGGUUUCGCAAUGCUCGAAAAGUUCUUUAUGAAUCUGCGAUAGUAGCCAGCUAGACCUAGAAAUUGACGAAUUUCUGUAGGUGUCUUUGGUGCCGACCAGUUCUCAAUAGCCUUAAUUUUGGAGGGGUCCACGUGUAUACCUUUCUCGCUAACAACGUGACCUAAAAAUUCGACUCUUCGAAUCCAAAAUUCGCAUUUAGAGAACUUCGCAUAGAGUUUCUCCGUUCGCAGUGUUUCUAGGACUUUUCGUAGGUGUUGACUAUGCUCUUCCUCACUUCGAGAGUAGAUAAGUAUAUCAUCGAUAAAGACGAUGACGAACUGAUCCAAGUAAGGGCGGCAUACCCUAUUCAUUAGGUCCAUAAAUACUGCUGGUGCAUUGGUUAAUCCGAACGGCAUCACCACGAAUUCAUAGUGUCCAUAACGAGUUCGGAAGGCUGUCUUUGGAAUGUCCCCCUCUAGAACUCGUAAUUGGUGAUAUCCGGAUCGCAGGUCUAUUUUGGAGAAGUAGUUCGCCCCUUGAAGUUGAUCGAAUAGGUCGUCAAUACGGGGUAGAGGAUAGCGGUUCUUGACAGUAAGUUUGUUCAGCUCUCUGUAGUCGAUGCACAUACGGAACGAUCCGUCUUUCUUCUUUACAAACAAGACCGGUGCUCCCCAAGGUGAGAAACUUGGUCUUAUGAAUCCUUUGUGAAGGAGUUCAUUAAGUUGACUGGAAAGUUCCUGCAUCUCUGCUGGUGCAAGACGAUAAGGCGACUUCGCUACUGGGGUAGCUCCUGGAAUUAAGUCGAUUCUGAACUCGACUUGGCGUUGCGGUGGUAAUCCUGGUAGUUCUUCUGGAAAGAUAUCGGGAAAGUCGCGUACUACCGAGAUGCUCUUGAUGUCCUUCAGUUCUUGACUUGUAUCAACGAUGUGCGCUAGGAAUGCUCGACAAUCCUUCCGCAAGCACUUUCGAGCUUGGAUGCACGAAAUGAUGCGAAGGUUUGUACUAGAUUUGUCGCCGUAGAUAACUAAUGUUUCGUUGUUAGGGAGAUUAAGACGGACUGCUUUCUCAAAGCACAUGAUGUCGGCGCGAAGAAGACUCAACCAAUCCAUGCCGACUAUGACAUCGAAACUUUUGAUUUGGACCGACAUGAGAUUGAUGGGAAAAGAAUGGCCAUCUAAAGUUAACGUACAACCCAUGUAUAUAUGCAGUUAGUGUUUUCGGUUUUUCCAUUGGCCAUCUCUACAGUGAAUGAUUUUUCCAACUUUCUAGGUUUAGGUUUAAGUAAAUGAAUAAAGUUUUGACUCACAAAGCUUCUCUCCGCUCCACUAUCGAAUAAUAUGCAUGCAUAUGAAUUAUCGAGAAGGAACGGACCAGCAACUACAAUUGGGUCAGCUACAGCUUCGUCGUGGCCUAUCGCCAAAACUCGUCCCACACCGCCGGUGCCUGCUGCCUUAGGGCAGUUCCUCUUGUAGUGGCCCACCUCGCCACAACCGUAGCAAGUCUGGCCUACACCCGCACUGGGAACUUGAGUGAUCGGCUUUGCGGGGUCCUUGCAGAAACGGGCUGUGUGUCCUUUCCUGUUGCAGUUGGCGCACUGCAUUUCCCGACAAGGUCCAUGGUGGUGGUAAGUGCAUUUGGUGCACUUUGGAAGGUUACCUACAUAAGGCUUUGUGGGGUAGGGAUUUGUAGGGACUGUAGUAGGUACAGUGGCAGCAUUCACUGAAACCAAUUGUUUCUUUGCGGAUUCUUGGGAAGACCCACCCUUCCCUUUACUCCAUACUCUCUUCCUGUUGUUGUUGUUGUUGUUGUUAUUGUUUCCUUUCUGUGGUUCUGGUGCAUAAACGGUUGAGUUCUGAUGACCUCCGUAGUCAAUCAGAGAUUGUGCCAGUUCCUUAGCACUUUCAAACGUGUCAGGUUUGAAAGCUAACAGGUUUGAUCGUAAUUGGGGCGUCAGUCCCCAGAUGUACCUUUCUAUUUUUUUGCUCUCGGGAGCAAUCAUAUCUGGGUAAAGGAUUUCCAGAUCGCAGAAUCGGUUGGUAUAAGUUGCGAUGUCGAUACCAACCAUUCCGAGAGUCCAUAGUUCGUGUUCGAGCUUUUGAAUCUCCCCGUGUCAGGUUUGAAAGCUAACAGGUUUGAUCGUAAUUGGGGCGUCAGUCCCCAGAUGUACCUUUCUAUUUUUUUGCUCUCGGGAGCAAUCAUAUCUGGGUAAAGGAUUUCCAGAUCGCAGAAUCGGUUGGUAUAAGUUGCGAUGUCGAUACCAACCAUUCCGAGAGUCCAUAGUUCGUGUUCGAGCUUUUGAAUCUCCCCCCGUGGGCAGUAUUCUUUCAUCAUCAUGGCUUUUAGGCUCUCCCAGCUUAUGGAGAUUGCCACUAUCAGGGUAAGUACUUUAACAUGGCCAUUCCGCCAAGUUAAAGCUCUAUCAAUAAGGGUUAAAGUUGCAAAUUUGACCUUGCUGUGCUCAGGACAGGAGCAGAUUUCAAAGACUGACUCUAUCCUUUCAAUCCACUAUCUCAGGGCUAACACACCACCAGAUCCAUAAAACAUCCGGGGCUUGGCGUUAGUAAAGUCCUUAUAGGUGCAUUCUCGGGGUGGUCCAUGACUCUCGCCAUGGUUGGAUGGGUGUGUGCCAGAUCCCGAGCCAUUAGUACUCGAGUUAUUGAUCUGUGACAUGGCAGCUGCUACCGCUGCGGUGACUGCUGCUUGGAACAUAACAUCAUCAAAUUGAGGUGGUGGAGGUGGUGGUGGUACAGGUGCUUCCCCACCGUUGUUUCGCCUUGGAUUCCUACGCGGAGGCAUCCUUCAACUAUAGGUUGAAAAGGUAAAGAUAAUAAUUCCAUAGAAUAGAGAAUUACUGUGUCUCAUGAACCAAAUUGCUAUAGUUCAACAACAGAUGCUAGUAUGAAACAAGUAUUUGGUUUCUCAAAGACUUUUCAAGACUGAAAGUAUGAAACAAGACUGAAAGUAUGAAACAAGUAUUUGGUUUCUCAAAGACUUUUCAAGGUUUGAACGAAAUACUCAACAUAGUAAUAAUAGUGUCACUUAUAUUAAUAUAAAAGUUGAUACAACGAUCAUGAAAAUUUGACCCCUAUAAGGGUCUCCGAUUAGAAAGUUCGAGAAAUUUAAAGACUUUUAGCCGAGGUCCUAAGCUAUAGCAAAAUUUGAGUCUUUGACAAGCACUACUUGCGACGUAGGUUGCGCUUGGAGCUUGACUCUGCAUCUGAUUGCUUCGACUCCAUUAGACGCCUAUCAAAAGCGGCUUGUUGUUCCCUUAGUUCAGCGAGGGCUGCAAUCAUUUGCGCUUGGAAUGCCUCGGUUUGGAGUUGAGCAUUGUCUUGUAUCUUGUCCAGCCUACGGAUGUCAGAAGUGUGAACCUGCACUUCCACGUUGACAUCCCGGAGUCGGCUAGCUUGAACUCCGGACUGAUAGGACUGAUUGGCUAGCUUACCCACCAUUACCGGGAGUGCCCGAUCAGCCGAACCUCCNNNNNNNNNNNNNNNNNNNNNNNNNNNNNNNNNNNNNNNNNNNNNNNNNNNNNNNNNNNNNNNNNNNNNNNNNNNNNNNNNNNNNNNNNNNNNNNNNNNNNNNNNNNNNNNNNNNNNNNNNNNNNNNNNNNNNNNNNNNNNNNNNNNNNNNNNNNNNNNNNNNNNNNNNNNNNNNNNNNNNNNNNNNNNNNNNNNNNNNNNNNNNNNNNNNNNNNNNNNNNNNNNNNNNNNNNNNNNNNNNNNNNNNNNNNNNNNNNNNNNNNNNNNNNNNNNNNNNNNNNNNNNNNNNNNNNNNNNNNNNNNNNNNNNNNNNNNNNNNNNNNNNNNNNNNNNNNNNNNNNNNNNNNNNNNNNNNNNNNNNNNNNNNNNNNNNNNNNNNNNNNNNNNNNNNNNNNNNNNNNNNNNNNNNNNNNNNNNNNNNNNNNNNNNNNNNNNNNNNNNNNNNNNNNNNNNNNNNNNNNNNNNNNNNNNNNNNNNNNNNNNNNNNNNNNNNNNNNNNNNNNNNNNNNNNNNNNNNNNNNNNNNNNNNNNNNNNNNNNNNNNNNNNNNNNNNNNNNNNNNNNNNNNNNNNNNNNNNNNNNNNNNNNNNNNNNNNNNNNNNNNNNNNNNNNNNNNNNNNNNNNNNNNNNNNNNNNNNNNNNNNNNNNNNNNNNNNNNNNNNNNNNNNNNNNNNNNNNNNNNNNNNNNNNNNNNNNNNNNNNNNNNNNNNNNNNNNNNNNNNNNNNNNNNNNNNNNNNNNNNNNNNNNNNNNNNNNNNNNNNNNNNNNNNNNNNNNNNNNNNNNNNNNNNNNNNNNNNNNNNNNNNNNNNNNNNNNNNNNNNNNNNNNNNNNNNNNNNNNNNNNNNNNNNNNNNNNNNNNNNNNNNNNNNNNNNNNNNNNNNNNNNNNNNNNNNNNNNNNNNNNNNNNNNNNNNNNNNNNNNNNNNNNNNNNNNNNNNNNNNNNNNNNNNNNNNNNNNNNNNNNNNNNNNNNNNNNNNNNNNNNNNNNNNNNNNNNNNNNNNNNNNNNNNNNNNNNNNNNNNNNNNNNNNNNNNNNNNNNNNNNNNNNNNNNNNNNNNNNNNNNNNNNNNNNNNNNNNNNNNNNNNNNNNNNNNNNNNNNNNNNNNNNNNNNNNNNNNNNNNNNNNNNNNNNNNNNNNNNNNNNNNNNNNNNNNNNNNNNNNNNNNNNNNNNNNNNNNNNNNNNNNNNNNNNNNNNNNNNNNNNNNNNNNNNNNNNNNNNNNNNNNNNNNNNNNNNNNNNNNNNNNNNNNNNNNNNNNNNNNNNNNNNNNNNNNNNNNNCCUGGGACAUACAAGUAAUUUUGAAAGAGUAGAUCAGCAUUUAAGCUGGUGAGUUUCAUAAGUAUUUAAAUGACAAUGUUUGUAUGAAAUGAAAUGUUUUGUCUUUGUUUGUUUGUGUUUAGAAAAUCCUAUAUUUUCUACUAGUAUAAAAGUAGCCUUCACUCAAGACCAAUGUUUGUUUCUGAAAAUGUAUGUAAGUGUAAAAUAACCAAUGUGUUUGAAAACCUUGUAAAUCAAUGCAUUUUUAAUACCCCAUGUGAGUUUUAUAACCAUACUAUUGACUCGGAAUGCCUAUACACAACGUUCUUCAGGCGUUGGAAUGUUAUGACGUUUGUUACCCCAAACGGUGGACUGUAGCUAACAGUCAGGGCGCGGGUUGUCAAGCCCGUAUAGAUCUAUACACAAACACCAUGCUCCCCCUCCAAGGGAUUCUGGUAUAUAAUACAGGACUUGAAAUGUGUACUCGAACGUACGUGAAGUUUAUGUCUCACAAAACCGUGGUAUAAAAACAGAUUUACGUGUUAAAAUGUUCGUUUGUUCUUGUAUAUGAAAGUGACUUCUUGAAAAUCAUGUUUCUAGUAUGUAAAAGUUAGCAAUAUCCUCGUAAAACUAUACCUAUUAUAGUUUUCUAAAAGUGUGUCUCUUUUGUUUAGAAAUACCUAGAAAAGGAAUCACUUGUUAUGAAAGUAUAGAUUUUUGUAGAGCCUAAGAUAGGAAAGUAUACAUAAAAUCUAAGAAAAUGUUUAGUUUAUACUUGCAUUACAACAAUUUAUAUUUCAAAAGGUAGAAUUCUAUUGUAACAUAUUUUAUAUACGAAAGUUUCCUAUAUGGUUUAUAAAUCACAAAUAAUUUGGAUAUAUAAAAGCAUAUAAAAUAAUUCUUUAUGUAACACACGAUAAUACUCGUGUGUUUUACUUGUAUUCCCCCCCUUGAAAGCAUAUAAAAACAUUUAGAAUAUCUUAAAAAGGUUAAUUAAGGGGUAUGAACUCACUUGAAAGCUUGAAGAUAGCGAGAUGGAAAACCGGGCAGAGGUUCGUCUUCGGAAACGGAUUUUUCUCGGGAUUCUCAGGAAUCUCGGGAGUAAAAUCGACCCUCGGGACUUGAGCAAAAAGACCAGAGCUUCGGGUUUGAACGGGCACGGAAAACGAGGCAAGAUUAUGAGAGAAAGGAGAGAAAUGAGCAAUUUUUCCGGAAACCCUCGCAUUCUAUUUAUAGGGGGUCUGAGAAGCCUCGGUACACGGGGCGUACGCUCGUACGCAGCGCGUACGCGUACGUCAUGCAUGAGCGAGUCCUCGACUGCCUCGGCUUCGGAUGGGACGGAUCGGAUGGG